rnacentral:lncRNA from 1 species
CUUCUUUCCAUCCAUUACUUCACUUGAAUCUGAAACAAAUUCUGGAACCGCAUUCCUUCCUUCAAGGAAACUUACCACCGACGACAUGGACGGCCUAAGGUUUGAAGUCACAUUCGUGCAUAGAAGAGCCACGUUGAUUACCACCAUAGCUUCCUUUUUGUUGAAAUCUGAACCUAAUCUUCUAUCAACUAGCUCCAUUAGAUCACCCCUCUCCUUCAACAAAUGUGCCUGUUGAAAGGGGAAGGAAAACAAAGAAGAGUUUGAUUUGAAACCCAAGUCAUUUACACCAAAUUGAGGCCACUAGAUGUCACUUAGAUGCUUCAUGAAAUUAAGAUUGUAGAAAUUGACAGUAACUAUGAAAGGUUUUGCACAAUUACUCUUCUAGAAAAUAUUUAAAAAGCUCCUUUUUUUAUCUCUUCAUUGUCCUAGUAAAAUGUAUUCCUUACUAAGAAAUGUUCAAUAUAUUUUCAAAAUUAGCAUUCUGUUUCUUAAUUUUUCCUUUAGCUAGGUUGCUGCUUCUUGUUGGUCUGAGCAAGAAAAAGGGUAAAUAAUUUUAUUCUCUUCAGAAUUGAAUUAUUAGCUGAAAAAUGAACAUCAAUAUAUGUAUGACACGGAACGAUUUGUAAGUAGAUUGUACAAUGGAUAAAAUCUAAUUUACAUGACCAAUUGAGAUCAAAAAAUUACCCAAUCAAGAAGAUAGAAAGCUUCCUCCUUCGAUCGAUACAUGGUGUUGCUCUUUCCACUAACGAUUUCCAAGGCAACAAUUCCAAAGCUAUAAACAUCUGCUUUGUCCGUCAAAUAACCAUGCAUUGCAUAUUCAGGAGCCAUAUAUCCACUGCAUAUAAUUGGAAAGUUUCAUUGAAAUAACUUUGAUAUAAGCAUACAACUUGAUAUCAAACUUUUAGUUAAUAAAAAUAUGUAAUUUGAAUUGAAUAUAAUCACUUUUUGCAUUACUUAUUAAUAAACUAGGAGAAGACAAGGAUUAUAGUUACUCACUAGGUACCAGCAAUUCUUGUACUAAUGUGAGUAUUGUCCUCCUCAUCAAGCUUGGCCAAACCAAAAUCAGAUAUCUUUGGGUCAAGAUUCGUAUCAAGCAGUACAUUAGUGGCCUUGAUGUCCCUGUGAACAACCUUCAGUCUUGAUUCUUCAUGGAGGUAUGCUAAACCUUUAGCAAUACCAACACAAAUCUUCUGCCUUGUUGGCCAAUCUAAUUUAAUUUGGUGUUCCUCUGGACCUUUAUUUGUAGUUGUAAAAAAUAAUCAGAAACUGAUACCACAUUGUCACGUGCUAAGUUAGAAAUUGUGGACUGUCACAUAAAUAGAAACCUGAAAUAGGAAAAAUUACCAAAUAAAGCCCGAGCUAGACUAUUGUUUUCCAGGUAUUCAUAUAUCAGCAACAACUGAUCUCCCUCCACACAGCAACCGUGGAGUUUAACAAGAUAGGGGUGUUGCAAAGCAGAAAUCAUGCCUAUCUCAUUUAAGAACUCACGAUUCCCUUGCUUUGAUUUAGAAGAAAGUUGCUUUACUGCUAUCAAUGUCCCAUUGGGUAAACAUCCCUGCAUUUUGAGGAACGCUAUUUUGUUAAGAGUUGAAAUAGAAAUUUCUGAAAAAUAUAUGUAAUAUUAUAGUAAUAGGGUGACACACGAGAGGAUUUGUUAAAUUAUGCAAAAUACCUUAUACACGGGACCAAAGCCUCCUUCUCCAAUCUUAUUGGAAAUAUCAAAGUUAUUUGUAGCUGCUUUGAUUUGUCUUAAGGUAAAUAACCCCGUUUGAACGUCCAAACUCUUCAACUCUGUUAAUUGAAGUAAAAGCAAGAUCAAAGAUCUCUUACACUCAGAAAAUUACACAUGGACACUGCAUCGACAAUCCUUUUUUGGUAAGCAUGCAACUUUCUUUUAUCAAAAUAAAACUAGUCUCACGUUCAAUAACAAGAUAUACUAAUAAAAGUACAUGUUCAAACUUCACUCAAUUACAAAACAUGAGCAGUUUCUUUUAUCACAUGAUUAUUCAUAUGUUAGCAAAAAGUUUGAUAAUAAUGGCAACAAAAGAAAUUCAUUUGUAAUCACCUCUUGCUAAUGAUUCUUUCUUCCUGAAACAUCCUUUCCACCAAAGUAUACCAAAUACUAGAAUGAUAACAAUUGUUGUUGCAACCACAAUUCCAACCACAGCUCCUGCAGAUAUGCUUCCAGGUGGAGAGUCUGCUUGAUCAUUAUAGACAAGACAUUCUAAAUAUUAGAUCAUAUACCUUGGAGAUCAUAGUAUAAUAAGAUUAGGAGUGUAGAAAGUAUAACCCACUAGAUUCCACUGAUAUGGCCGAUAUAAGAGGACCAAAUACUGAUCUAUUUGGAAGAGACUGUGUCCCUUUUCCAGCCCAAUACAAACGGAUCUCCAAGGUACUAUUAGUAACAGAAACAUCUUUGAACUGUUUUAUGACUUUCUUACCAACUCCUCCCGCUUCUUUUGCAAUAUUGAAGUCCUUUUGCACCGGAUUUCCCUGUAACAUUUCAAUCACAAUCUUAAUGUUACACGGUGAUUACAAACCUACAAGUAUUUUAAUCAUUGAUUUGUAUUAGAAAUUGUUAAGAGUUUCACACCGGACAAUAUAUGUCUAAACAUGUGCUUAUAAGUGGGGGAAAUCCUAAUCCUACAAGUCAGUUUUUUAUGGAUGAGUUAGACCCAACUUAAAUUCUAAGAUGGUAUCAGAGUCUAGUUUAAGUCCGCUGGGUCACCUGCUAUCAGGUUUCCACUAUAGGGAUACCCACCAUUUAUUUCCACACUCAUGAUGUUGAGUCUUGUGCGUGAAGCGGUGUAUUAAGAGUCCCACAUCGCACAAUAUAUGGCCUGAACAUGUGCUUAUAAGUGGGGACAAUUUUCUCCCUAUAAAUCGGUUUGUAUGGUUGAGUUAGACCUAACUACAACUUUAAACAUGGUAUCUAAGUCUGGUUUAAGAUCCGUUGGUCACCUGCUAUUAGGUUUCUGGUAUCGGGCCACCCACCAUUUAUUUUCAUGCUCCAGAUGUUCAGUCCUGAGUGUGAGGGUGUGUGUUAAGAGUCCUACAUCCGAUAAUAAAUGGUUUGAACAUGUGCUUAUAAGUGCGUACAAUCCUCACCCUACAAUUCAGUUUUGUAUGAAUGAGUUAGGUCCAACCUCAACUCUUAACAGAAAUAUUGUAGAAUUUGAUUUUAUAAAUAAUGCGAAACAAGAGAACUGCUAAUCAGAAAAAGAUUUCAAUCACAUUCUUCAUUUUUAAUCGAAUAAAAUAGCUUGACAGUGUUCCUAUUGGAACCUAAUGAUCACUUGACUAAUGGCCUUAAUUUAUUUCUUAUGAAACACCAAGUGAUUAUUGAAAUAAAAUUGUUAAACCAAAUACCUGAAGGUAGAUAUCAAAUACACGUCUUCCAAGACUACCAUAAGUUUGAUCGUCUGUGAACAUUAUUUCAGCAAAAUGAAGAUUUACUGUGUAGCUUCCAUUUUCCAGACAAAACCCAUAAUAAGUCAAAGAAAUGGGAGAACCACGUGCACUCAUGUACAACUUAGCAUCUUCCAUAGUAAGUGGAGUAAAUUUUGGCGGGGAAUAAGUUUCUCCAAGUUGAUCACCAUCAAUAAACAUACCAGUGGUGCUAAAUGCCCAUUUUCCUGUUGGGCUGACAUGGAGUUUAGCUGGUCCAGGUGAAUCUGAAUCGUCAUCAUAACUUGCUCCAUUGACUUGUUCUUGCUUUCCACCACAAUUUAUAUAAAGGGAGUAUGAGGCUGGAUUGAGCAGCUCAUGUGAGUUGACUUUGAAAAUAUUAAUGAAUCAAAGAAAAAUAAGGAAAAAUAUAUUCCUUGAAAAUUAUUUUUCUAUACUCAUUCUCUUUCUCUCUUUUUCUAACUAUCCUGUUUUUGUUAUGGUAAAUUAUAUCACUCUAGAUAGUCAAACAAAAGUCACGGUUUAUUCUGCCAAUAUUUUUUAGACACACAGCCUGAUUGUAGUGUGUCAAAAGUAAAUUUAGGGAACUAGAAGACAACACAUUUGUCCUUUUCAACCAACAAAAUUUAUGUUUGUGCUGAAAAAUCUACAAUAUCAUGCUUGGACUAUUGUAAAGUAAACUUAAGGAAUCUAGACACUAAAAGAAAACCCUUUUAGUUCCACUUAUCCCUCUAAUAUCAAACAUCUUGGAAUCAAGAUUAUUUUAUAAUUAAAAAAUUAAUAAGUGAUCUAUUGAUAAAUUGAGUGGAAGAAUUUUAUUAACCUACAUCAUUUGAUAAAGUACCAAUGGAAAGAGAAGAUAUAACUCCUAUCAAAAUAUGUUGUUCUAAACAUGUUUGUCUUUGGUCCUUCUGCUCUUGUACCUCUAAGAUUUUUUUUUAAAAAGCAAAAAUGUAAAGAUUUUAGCUGUCUAUAGGAAAGUGACAACGAAGAAACUCACGUUUUUUAGGACAUUCUCUCAAACAUGAAACUGUUCCUCUGAGAGAAUGAUGGAAGGAAUAGAAUAUGUUAGCAUGAUUAGUAUAAUAAGAUUUAAAAAUAAUAAGAGAGAAAUGGAAAUAUAUAUAUAUAUAUAUAGCUACUAUAUAUAAUAGUAUAUUAAUAUAAUUCUAUUAUACUAUAUAUAAUAUAUAUAUAUAUAUAUAUAUAUAUAUAUAUAUAAUUACUGUAUUAGUAUGUAUGUAUGUAUGUAUGUAUGUAUGACCAAACUUACAUGUUAUUGUUUGCCCAUGAGGUAGAAAACAAGUUUCUGUGACAUAUUAGAAAAAGUGAUGUCUUAGAAAGGUUGUUAAGUUUGCAAACAAAUGCACACAAAUGCAGGGAUUCUUACAAUUUAUCACUUUGACAUAGCUGACUUUCUUGGAUGAUGCUGAAGUUAUUGUAUGAAAGAUCUCUAUAUUCAGGUCAUAAAAUUUGAUUCAGAAUAUGAAAACAAUAAUAUAAUCAGAGACUUAAUCAUAGGCUCUUUCCUACCAAGAUUAUGCAACUAGGAUUCCUAAACCAGAAAGAGAAGAACAAUAGAAAACUAUCUAAGAAAAUUAAGAAAAAAACUUCUUCAUUCAUUGAUUCUAAUCAUGAAACAGUGCAAUGCUUAUAUAAGCCAAUGCAUAAUCAUAGUAAGAUAACUACUACACUACACAAUAGCGUUGCUUAGUAAGAAACUACAAAAUAUGCCUAAAGGAUUCUAUUCUAGAAUAAUCAAGACGAGUCGUUGUUCUUAGCCUCAAGGAUCCUACCACUUAAGAAACCUAAGAAUAUUAGUACCUUACAAAUUGUUAUCAACUGCACAAUCAUACUCAAAACACAGAGUUUCAAAACGGUUUUUUUUACUGAGAAGUAGGUCAGAAAUAAGCUCCUCAUCAACUGAUUCAGAUAAAAUAACCCAGCAGCUUUAAGGUAUAUUAUACACUUAAGAGAGGGAAGAUUAAGAGGGUUGUGAACUUAUAGUCUAAGGGAUACUAAACUCGUGAUUAUGGACCUAGCACUAGAGUUCAUCAUUAGAGCAAUAACAAAGGAUUAAACUGUAAUAAAUAGUUAAUCAUUACAUUAUAGUUGGUGCUCGGUGAUCGUACACUUAAUGCAAGCAAAAAAGAAAACUACACAGCUAAGCAGGGAAAAAGCUGGGAAGCAAGCAAAAAGAAAAAGAAAAAAAGCAAAGUCCACUUAAAGAGAAAAAAAACAGAUGAUAUGUCUAUAAAUUAUAAUAUAUUUGCAACGGAAAUAAUAUAUAUUGUUCAAUCCAAGGAAUCAUAAAAGUAGUAUUAAAAGAUAACUUACACGUCGAUGUUCUUUUUCCAAGAAGGUAUCUGUCCUGUGAGAAGGUUUCCAGUUAAAAAUCUGCCCAAAUAGAAUAUCAAUAUUAAUUUCAGACCCUAAUAUUUAUUGAGGCAUACAUUGAGGCAAAUAAGCCAGUUGUCUUUAAUAACACCCGUUCAUCUCUUCUUUUAUAAGAAAGAUUGAAUUGAUUUAGCCAAUUGUCUCGAGGGACCCUUCUAUACAUAAAGGUGUGUCAAUUCUUAGACACCGGCUAAGACGAAUGAAAUAACAAAAAGUCCUAAACAUAUCACUUUGACACUCAUUAUCAGACUUCGUAUAUUGUCACUUCCUUUUCAGAUAGAAAGGGCAUGUGAUCCUUUUGACACAAAAAAGUUGCUUCAGAAUGGUGCAAAAACAUUUUCUUGCACUUUUGAAACAAUCUCAAUGACAUGUUUUUGCAGCUUUAAGACAUACCAAUAAUAUUCCCAGCACUUCAGGUAUUGCAACCAUAUAAUUAAAUAUGUUUCAACCUGACCCAUCCUUUUACUAUAUAAAAUUGGAAACUUGGUACGAAUCUAAGUAGGAGUAUUCAGCUAUCCUACUUCAAACUGAAAGCUGAAACUAGAGUUAUAGGUGUAAAGUAUCCAACAGAAAUGUGAUUAAAAACAUACAUAAAAAAAUUGCGGUAAGAAACUAUGAUGAAUUUCAUACAUGAAUUUCACACCAUUUAUGUAAGCAUAGGUACUCGGAAUUUUUCCACGGAAUUUGUUAAAGCUGAAGUCUCUGAAAGUAUAUUGAGAAUGAGUUAAAAAGCUACAAGUAAAAUUUGUCAUAUAAAAACAUUCAAGUAAUAUAAUAAGCUGGAGUGCUAUAAAAAUGCUAUAUCCAUCAAAAGAUUAGUUAUAAAAACAGAAUACGCUAAACUUAUAGAAGAAACUUUGUUAGCCACAGUAAGCAAUUACAAGUAUUUUAAUGAUGUCAUAGUACUAAGAUUUUCAGGUAGAGUUCCAUUGAUGUUGCAAUUCCUCAUAAUCCUGUGAAACAAUAAGAUAGACAAAGAUAUAUUAUGAGUGUCUUUCUUGCUGCUGCGUUUCUUAUCUAUUUCUGAAAGGCAUAGAAAUUAACUCACAGUUUUUCUAACAAUGUCAGAUUAUCAAGUUGUGGCAAAGGUGCAUAUUCAGAUCCAUUCAAAUCACUAAUUCUCCUGAACAUUUGAACCGAAUAUAAGUAAACAUAAUUAAAAUGAAAGUUAAAUUUCAUGCCGUGCUUUGUCAGUAUAUAAAAUAUCAUACUUACAAGUCAGUUAAGUUUCUCAAAAGUGAAAUUUUGGAAGGAAUUGGUCCACUUAAUCCACUCCCUUGAAUGAUUCUGUCAAAAGUAAAGUAACCAUGUUGUAAAUAUUAGAUUGUAAAUAGUAAUUAUUUCUAUUAGUAAUGAGGCCCAUUAGUCAAAGCCCAUUAGGUUUUCUAUUCUCUCUUAUUUAAAGCAUGUAGAUGUAACAUGUAAGAAUCACUUUUUAAUAUAUCAGUAAAAUAUUUUACAACAUGGUAUCAGAGCUCCCGAUUUUGGGGGAUUCGCUUCCGCCUAAACCCUAGCCGCCUUGUAGCGGAGUCUUUUUUUUACUGCAGUUUUUUGUUCACUCAUCUUUGAAACCCUAACCCAUCCUGUUUCUUGGUUUGUUUUCUCUCGAUUGUCCUUUCAAUGGCUGAGAUUAUUAACGAUCAACCACCUCCACCUCCCACAAAUCCACCAGCACCAUCAUCAUCCAAGAAUGUUCGUGACAAAUUUUAUUGUGAGCAUUGCAACCGAUCAGGGUAUACAAAGGAUAGGUGUUUCAAACUUCAUGGGAGGGAGCAGGUUCUUAGCCGAGGUGGCGGUUCUCGCAACAUGCACCAGUAUCAGGCACAUGUUGCUACACAUGUCCAGGAUACUGAAAGCUUUGAAAAGAGGGGAACUGAUCUUUCCUCCUUCAGUCAGAAUGAUGUGGAACGGUUGAAGUCUAUGCUUGACUCCAUGAGUAAGCCUUCUGGUUCUGGGUCUCUAGCAGUUACUGGUAAGAGUUUGUGUUCCCGAUCUCUUACCGUGUGUGGUAAUAUUCCUAAGAAUGCGUGGAUUCUUGACUCUGGUGCUACUAAUCAUAUGACAUUUGAUUCCACAUUAUUAUGCUCUUAUACCACACCUUCGAGUAUUCCUUAUAUCACUGUUGCUGAUGGCUCUCAUGCUUGUGUUGUUGGCACUGGAAAUAUUGACUUGCAACCUCCAUUCCAGUUGCAAUCUGUGCUUCAUGUUCCCACACUUUCCCANNNNNNNNNNNNNNNNNNNNNNNNNNNNNNNNNNNNNNNNNNNNNNNNNNNNNNNNNNNNNNNNNNNNNNNNNNNNNNNNNNNNNNNNNNNNNNNNNNNNNNNNNNNNNNNNNNNNNNNNNNNNNNNNNNNNNNNNNNNNNNNNNNNNNNNNNNNNNNNNNNNNNNNNNNNNNNNNNNNNCAUGCUGACGCUCAAUAUGGAUGAGAACUAGAAACAAGAAACUGAGACGAAACAAGAGAAACACCUUUGGAUGUCCAAAGAAGUAGUAUAUACCCUUCCUUUCCUUAGCAAUUCCAUUGUCUGCCCCGUGUAAGGUCCUGAAAAACACAAUGGACAUAGAAAAAUUACUUUACAAUUCAACGGUAAGCUUAUGGAUGGAAAUUAAUUGUGAAAGUGUGGAACAUGAAACACAAAUUGCAACUGGAAUGGAGGUUGCAAGUCAAUAUUCCAGUGCCAACAACACAAGCAUGAGAGCCAUCAGCAACAGUGAUUAAAGGAAACUCGAAGGUGUGGUAUAAGAGCAUAAUAAGUGGAAUCAAAUGUCAUAUGAUGAUAGCACCAGGAGUCAAGAAUCCACGCAUUCUUAGGAAUAUUACCACCACACGGUAAAGAUCGGAAACACAAACUCUUACAGUAACUGCUAGAGCCAGAACUAGAAGCUUACUCAUGAGUCAAGCAUAGACUUCAAACCGUUCCACAUCAUUCUGACUGAGGAGAAGAUCAGUUCCCUUCUUUCAAAGCUUUCAGUAUCCUGGACAUGUGUAGCAAACAUGUGCCUGAUACUGGUGCAUGUUGCGAGAACCGCCACCUCGGCUAAGAACCUGCUCCCUCCAUGAAGUUUGAAACACCUAUCCUUUGAUACCCUGAUCGUUGCAAUGCUCACAAUAAAAUUGUCACGAAUUCUUGGAUGAUGAGUGCUGGUGGAUUUGUGGGAGGUGGAGUGGUUGAUCGUUAAUAAUCUCAGCCAUUGAAAGGACAACGAGAAAAACAAACCAAGAAACAGGAUGGGUUAGUUUCAAAGAUGAGUGAACAAAAACUGCAGUAAAAAAAGACUCCGCUACAAGGCGGCUAGGGUUUAGGCGGAAGCGAACCCCCAAAAUCGGAGCUCUGAUACCAUGUUGUAAAAUAUUUUACUGAUAUAUAAAUAUGGUACAAACGCAAUUUGGGAAAGGCAUAAAAAGAAUUCGUUCUGACAAUGGUAAAGAAUAUGUCAAUCAUACCUUUUCCAACUUCACUAGUAAACAUGGCAUUCUCCAUGAAUUCACAUGUGUCGACACCCCACAACAAAACGGUGUCGCAGAAAGAAAAAAUCGUCAUUUACUUGAAGUUGCUAGAUCUCUCCUUUUUCAAAUGUCUGUUCUUACCUCUUAUUGGGGUGAGGCAAUUCUUACUGCUUCCUAUCUGAUUAACCGGGUCCCAUCUCGAGUGUUAGGUAAUAAAAGUCCUGCCCAAUUUAUGCUUUCACGUUUUCCAUCUGUUCCUAUCUUACACACUCUUGAGUCUCGCAUUUUUGGUUGUGUUGCUUUUGUUCAUGCUCACAAACAAUAUCGCAACAAAUUGGAUCCCCGUGCUGUCAGAUGUAUCUUUCUGGGUUAUUCACCCAACAAAAGAGGGUACAAAUGUUAUCAUCCUCCGAGUCGAAAAUUCUUUGUCUCCAAAGAUGUCACCUUUCAUGAAAAUGUGUCAUAUUUCACUCGUUCUCAAUCUCAGGGGGAGAACAUAAGUGACUUAGAGUCAGAGUCAGAGUCUGAGUCCGAGUUUUUGAUCCUUGGUCCUAGCCUCCCUAGAACACCUAUCAGUGUUCCCUCUCUUGAACCCGAGUUGUCACCUAGUUUGAGUUUGAGUCCUAGUUCAACACCUGAAUUUGAGCCAGUACGUGUUCCUGGUCCUUCAAGGCCUUCUGUUUUACAGGAAUCAGCACCUCCAGCACCAACUCUAGUGUAUCAGAGAAGAAGUAAACCUGACCUUCUCCAGAAACAAAUUCAAUCGCCUGAACCGGAGGUAAGUACUGAAAAUGAUUCCUCUAGUGAUGAUUGUGCCAUUUCUGAUACUUGUGACACUAAUCCAGUUGAUUUACCCAUUGCUUUGAGGAAGGAUAAAAGAUCUUGUCCCUCCCUAUAUCGACACCCUAUCUCUCAAUAUGUCUCCACUAAACAUCUUUCCACACAAUAUCAAAGUUUUAUUGCAGCUGUUGAUUCUGUGAAAAUCCCAUCAUCUGUUGAAGAAGCAUUGCAAAAUAGAAAUUGGGUCCAAGCUAUGGAUGAGGAAAUGAGAGCACUUGAAAAAAAUGGUACUUGGGAGAUUAUUGAAAGGAAAAGAGACAAAAGUCCAGUUGGAUGCAGAUGGAUCUAUACUGUAAAAUACAAAUCUGAUGGUACACUUGAUCGGUACAAAGCAAGACUAGUGGCAAAAGGUUAUACUCAGACGUAUGGUAUUGAUUAUGAGGAGACAUUUGCCCCAGUGGCAAAGAUGAAUACUGUUCGAAUUUUACUAUCUCUUGCUGCUUCAUGUGGAUGGGAAUUGCAACAGUUUGAUGUUAAAAAUGCGUUCUUGCAUGGAGACUUAGAGGAAGAAGUGUAUAUGGAGAUUCCACCAGGUGUUGGCAUAACAAAUGGAGCUAACAAGGUGUGUAAAUUGAAGAAAGCCUUAUAUGGACUAAAGCAGUCCCCUCGGGCAUGGUUUGGAAGAUUCACAAAGGCAAUGAUGUGUUUGGGCUAUAAGCAAAGUCAAGGAGACCACACUUUAUUUUUUAAACAUUCACAAGGAGGAAAACUGACUGUACUUCUUGUGUAUGUUGAUGAUAUUAUUGUUACAGGAGAUGAUUUGAUUGAGAGACAUUUCCUCAAAGAGAAAUUAUCAGCAGAGUUUGAGAUGAAAGACCUUGGGCAACUCAAGUAUUUCUUGGGAAUUGAGGUAGCCUACUCAAAGCAAGGCAUCUUUAUUUCUCAAAGGAAGUAUGUGCUUGAUCUUUUGCAGGAAACUGGCAAACUUGGAUGCAAACCUGCAAGUGUUCCCAUUGAACAAAAUCACAGGAUAAGCUUUGAGGAGGAAAGUGACAAAGUUGACAAGGGUCAAUAUCAGAGAUUAGUGGGAAAAUUGAUUUACUUGGCACACACUAGACCAGAUUUGGCAUAUGCAGUCAGUGUGGUGAGCCAAUUCAUGCAUGAUCCGAGGGUGAGACAUUUGCAGGCUGUAGACCGCGUUCUACAAUAUCUUAAAGCAACUCCAGGGAGAGGACUUUUGUUUAAAAGAGGUGGAAAUCUAACUAUGGAGACUUACACUGAUGCGGAUUAUGCCGGAUCAGUGAGUGACAGAAGAUCUACGUCAGGCUAUUGUACUUUUCUGUGUGGUAACCUUGUAGCUUGGAAGAGUAAGAAGCAAAGUGUAGUUGCUCGAUCAAGCGCCGAGGCAGAAUUUAGAGCUAUGGCACUAGGAAUUUGUGAGCUAUUGUGGAUGAAACAAAUUCUAGAAGACUUGAAGAUACAAUGUGAAGGUCCUAUGAAAUUGUUUUGUGACAAUAAAUCGGCUAUUAGUAUUGCUCAUAAUCCUGUUCAGCAUGACAGGACUAAACACAUUGAGAUUGACCGACAUUUUAUCAAAGAGAAGUUGGAUAGUGGACUGAUAACUACAUCUUACGUUCCUUCCGGGCAUCAGCUGGCAGAUGUGUUAACAAAAGGCUUACCAACAGAAAGAUUCAGGCAACUUACUUGCAAGCUGGGAAUGAUAGAUAUCCAUUCACCAGCUUGAGGGGGAGUGUUGUAAAUAUUAGAUUGUAAAUAGUAAUUAUUUCUAUUAGUAAUGAGGCCCAUUAGUCAAAGCCCAUUAGGUUUUCUAUUCUCUCUUAUUUAAAGCAUGUAGAUGUAACAUGUAAGAAUCACUUUUUAAUAUAUCAGUAAAAUAUUUUACAACAAACCAUUAAUAAUUUUCUUUUUUUAAGUCAAGCAAAACAAAACAAUAUUAAAUUUGAGGAAAGAUAAAAAUAAAAAAGAAGAGUGCAUACAGCAUAUUGAUAUUUGUCCAGUUCUGAAUAAAAUCGGGUAUCUUUCCUGAGAAUUGGUUGUCCGAAAUAUGGCUGCAUUGAUAAAGGGCAUGAAAAUAUGAAGCCUCAUUAAAAUCAUUUUUUUAAUUUAGUCACUAAAUGUCACCAGAAGAAUUUGAAGCUUACAAAUCUCGCAAUGUAGUGAGCUUGGCCAAUGUUGCAGGUAGUUCUCCAGAAAAAUUGUUUGAGGAAAUUCGCCUGUAUGUAAUUGAAAAGCAAAAAAGUAAAUUAUGAUUCUAACUAAGCCAUGAAAAUCAAAGGUGACUUCAAAGACUAGGCUUUCAUAUUUGGAGGGAGAACGUCAAUUAAGGAAAAUAAUGAAGUACUUACAGGGUUCGAAUCUGGGGUAGAUUUCCAAGCUCAGAAGUAAUAUUUCCAGACAUUUGAUUGGCCGUUAACUCCCUAUCCAUUCCAUGUUAAAGUUAAGUUUGACUAAAACUCUUUGAAUUGAAUACAUACAUGUUUAUGUACUUAUGAAAUAGAUAGUUUUGCCAAGUGGGAUAAUGAGAAACUCACAAAUGAAUCAAGGUAGAUAUUUUUGCAAUCUCCUUUGGUAUUGAACCCGUUAAUCGAUUUCCAGGGAGAGUACUAUGAUGAUUAAGAAACAUGUUGUCAUUAGGUUAAUUGUAAUGUAAUUACUACAAGUCUACAAGAAAAUGAAUGCAAAGAGUGGGACAAAAUGAAUAAAUAGGUAAUCCGACCCAUGUAUCAUUUUUAGAAGAUUCAUAUAGAACAAUCAAUGAUUAAAAACCAGAAAAGUAAAAUAAGAGACAGAUCAUACAUGUUAAGAAGAUUCACCAUGGAGCCCCAUUCUUUAGGAAUUGUACCGUUCAAGUAAUUGCGAGAGAGGUCACUGUAAUAGAGAGAGCGAGAGUGUGAGAGAGAAAGAGUCUGUCUUGCAAAAUAACAUAUAGAUACAUGUGAUUAAAGAUACAACACAAGUUCAAUAAUAUUGUUAAUUUGGAUGUGAGGGAAAUUUUGGGAAUUACUUACAUGAUUUGAAGGUAAUGCAACCUGGCCAGUUCUGGUGGGAGAAUGCCAGGGAGAUUUUGCCCUUUCAAAGUUCUGUAUAUACAUUUUAGUUACCAUAAAAAAGUUAAUCAUAAACAAUAAGCAAAAUAAAGUAAUUAAUUCCGAUAUCUUAACCAAUAGAUUUACAAGAAAAAAUGCAACAAGCUCUUAUACUGUAGGUUGUUUUAAAACUGAUUUUACUAUCUGCCAAACAUAAUUUUAGUAAAAAACACAUCUUUGAAAAAAUUGAUUUUCCUUUCAAAUAUUAGUUUGACUGUAAGGGAAGCAGUUUUAUAGACGUAGUUAAGUCUAUUACAUGGUAUUAACCAAUCUAACUCAUGUAUACACACACAUAAAAUAUCAAUUCCUACCUCUACGUCAAUUGAAAUACUUGAGUACUACCGUAAAUGAAAUAAAAAUCAAAUCAACUUAAUUAGAAAGGCUGAUAGCAAAAGAUCACUUCUAGGAAAAAUAGACUUACAUUGAAACAACAUGGCAGAAGUUGUCACCAGCAAUACUGCAGUUGCAGGUGACAUUAUUCUCUACAAUACUCAAUCUGGGAGUGAUAGGUGUAGGCUUUGGUGUAGCCCAGUUAGGUUUGUUGCUGCAGGGAUCAAUAUCAAAGUCCCAAUCCUUCUUACCCAAUGAUUUAGCUAUAUCUUCAAGAGCUUUCUCUAUAUAUACAAUUCAAAAGCUAUCAACUUAGUACUGAAAAUUUUCUAAUCCACAAACACAUGCCAUCAAAUAUAUCUACAGAAUUUCUAUAUGAGCAGAAAAAUACAUAUUAUUUAAACUAACAUGAAACCUUAGAUAAAAAAAAAAAAAAAAAAAAAAAUAGAAAACAAAGAUCAGAUUAAAGAAACUUCUCUAUAAUUAGAGAGCUAAGGUAGAAAUAGAUAUCAUACUUUCGUCAGGGUGAAUAGUAUCAGCUCCAAAAGCUGUUAGAGACAUGAACCAUAUGGCAAUGAAUGAAAGGAAGAGAAUUUGAGAGGAAGUGCUCAUAUCUUAAUAUUAACAAGGAAAACAAAAGUUGAGAUAUAUCAAUAAUUCAGAGAUUGAAAGCCGGAACAUAUAUUGCGUGCAUAUUCGGGCUUUAAAGUUCUGAAUGCAUAUAUAUGAACUCAUUUACUAGGAUGGUGUAAAUUUAUUCAUUAAAAUGUUAAUCUAAUCCAUAAAACUGUUUGGGAAUAACUAGUUUGAUUAAGAUUUUUUUAUUGAAUUUAAGCAUCAUCUUUUCUUAAAAUUGUACUAUUGAGACAAUGAAAUGUGAGCGUCAACAAUUUUAUAAAGUAAAGUAAGUCAAAUAUUUGGGGUUAAAGAUGUUCAAUUCACAUUGAUGAUUGCCACAAUGAUGAGUCAUGAAACAUAUAUAAAAAGAUUGAUGAGUAAAAAAGAUCAGAAAAAGCAUAAACUAGUACAACUGUACAAGUCAAGAUUUAGACUAGUAUUAUACAUGCAUGGCCCCCGGUCAGGAAUUAUAUCAAACAGAUAAACUUCAUGAGCAAUUAUUUUUCAACGACAGUUAGCGCGUCUCAAUUAAUGUGUUUUGGUAUUGAAAGUGUCAAAAUCAAACGCUAUUAUUUGAAAAAUGAAUAAAAUAUUUACUUGCUUUAUUUUACUGUGAGAAUUCUUCUGUAGAAUCAAAACCAUCUUUUGACUUGUUUUCCAUGUUCAUCUCCGUUCUUCGCUGCAACCGACACGAACUAGGACUCCGCCGCCAAGCUCCGCCGUUCUCCGCCGUACGCUUCUCGCGCGCGCGUUUCCCCAUUAUGAGCUCUGCAUGUGUAUCUUUACAUUUUCCCUCUCUUUUGCGGCGGUACCGUUAUAAGUGUCAUUUUCUUUUUAAUAAAAAGAAAAUAGAUUAAUUUUUGAAAAAGCUCAAAAAAAUUUAAUAUUACAGACAACUGCAGAGAUUAAUUUUUAAAAAUAGAUCAUUAAUAAAUAAAUCUAUCAUUUUUAAAUAUAUAUUUUUAUCAAUACUUUUUUCUUGUUCAAUUUUUAUCAAUACUUUUCAUAAAUUUUUUUAAAGCCCUAUACACUUUUCCUAUAAUGUAAUAAUGUUUAGGGAAAUUUAUCAUGGGUCCUCUAAAAAUUUCAUGUAUAGAGAAGGAUUUCUUCAUAAAUAUUUUUUUCCUUCUUCUUUGAAUGUAGCUAUAAAUAUGAUAAAUUAGUGACAGUGUGUGUAUCCGUACAAAUAAAUUGUUAUAGGUAUAUAAUAUUUUAUAUUUUAAUAUUAUACUCUCUCCAGCUAAAUUUUAUAAAUAAAAGUUUAUUAAUUUUUUUUAGCCUUAAAUAUAAAUAAGUAUUAAAUAUAUGUAUAUUUAAUAUUUUUAUUCCAAAAUUAUUAUUUUUGUAUUAAAUAUUUAAUAUUAUUAGUGAAUAUCAACUUAAUUUAGAAUAUAUUAUUAAUUAUGUUUUUUUACAUAAAAUUAAAAAAAUUAAAAAUAUUUAACUAUAUUUCUUAAUAAACAUGAAAGUUUCAAUUUUAUUUAUAAAUCAAACCGUAGUAAAAUGUAAAAAAAAAUCGAAGAAUUAUAAAAAUAAAAAUAAUUUGAAAUUAACCCUUAUGAAUAAUUAUAAUAUGAAACCUCAUUCUUUUUAUGCCUAGGCACAACUUUUUCUUACUCGCAAAUCCUUCGAGUAAUAAAAUUUUCAAUCUUUCAAAUCAAUUUUAUAAAAUUACUUAUUUAUAAAAGAUAGAUAAUAUUAAUAAGAGGCGAAUCCAUAUUUUCAAUCUCUUUUAAUACAGGUAUAUGUUCGAAUAUCAACCAUUCCAACACAUAUAUGUUAGCUCCCUUCGAACGUUAUUAACAUUAUUGAACAAAGUUUAAAAUAAAACAAAGACAAUCGAACUCGAACAAAGCUUCCUCGACCAUUGUUGUACAUUUUUCAUCACGUUUUCGAUAUGUAAUCCACUUUAUACAUGCAUAUAACUUAGAAAUGUUAGUUUUUGUUGUUGUGAAUUGCUUGUUGCUUUUAGAUUAAGUUGAGAGAAGUUAUUCUGAUUAUGUUGAUAAAAAUGGAAAUAAAUUUUUUUUUUAAUGUUGAUGUUGACAAAAGUCCAUUUGUACCAUGAGUAGUAAAAUUCAUAUGUAUGAGUUAAGUAAAAUAGAUUUUGUUGGUGUUGUGUCAAGUUAAAUGUUAUGAGGCUAUUCGUAUGAAGUGUUUUUAGGAAGUGUUUAUGUUGUUUUAAAUAAAAUGUACAAUGUGUACCAUGAAUCUCACAUUAGGUGUCUUUGUUGAUUCGUGUUAGGUAAAAUGUUUAUUGUCGUUCUUAUUUAAACAGAGAUGGACAAUUCGACCAACACCUCUUCUACAACCUCCACAUAUCAUACAACUACCUUUACUAAGACUAAAAAUACAAGAAAGUCUAGAGGUGUCACGAUGAUGAUCAAGUUGUUAAAAUCUCAUCAAAGCGGUAUUAUGUAUCUGGUUGAUUUUUGUCCAAGAAUUGUUAAGAUUUAUGGUAAAAAUGUUGAUAGUUUUAAGACUCACAUGGCAUUACAAAGUAGAAGGAAAGUUAGCAUUUUGAUAAAUCAUUGGAACGAUGUUCCAGGUGAGUUGAAAAAUAAAAUAUGCAUAAGUAUUAGUGUAUAAAAUUAUUUUAAAUUUUAUGAUUUGUUUUACAUGUAUAUAUAUUUGCACAUAGAUUUGUUUUACAUGUAAACGCCAAAGAGGAGUGGAGAAUAGGGCAAGAAAUAUCUACGCAGGUAGAUUGUCUCGUGGAGAAUAUGAUAAAUUUAAAUAAAUAAUGAUUAAAGAAAAAAAACUAAGAGAACUAGAGUUGAGAGAUUCUUCUAUAAGCCUGGAUUACAACUCAUCUUACUAUCACGCCAUGAGAAAUGGAAGAAAGCACAUCAAAGACCAAGAGACGUGCUCAUAUCAGAGGCUACACACGAAGUUGCUGAAAAUAUUGUAAGUAGAUACUUUUUCAAUGUUAGUUAUUUUAGUUAAUUCAAUUUGUCAAAGAUGGUACCUUUGUUCCACAAGAACUCUAUGACAUAUUAGUAGAAGCAAUUGAAACAAAGGAGCAUGGUGGAUGUGUCUGUGAUUUUGGAAGAGGUGUCGACUUGAGGAUAUUCUUUAGACUAUCUUCAAAGAGUAACAAAGUAUUGCGCAAGAAAGAAAUAGAAAAGAUAGUUUAUCAAGGAGUGGGUUAUAGGAUAUAAGAAGCAUUAGAAAAUGAGCAUGAGAAGUUGACUCAGGAGGUGCGGGAGAGAGUCACUCAGGAGGAACCGGGGGGGGUCAUUAGGAGGAGCAUGAGACGUUGUUCCAAGCGGUACGCAAGAGGUUGAUCCAAGAGGAGCGGGAAAGGGUGCAUCAGGAGUAGCGAGAGAGGUUGAUUAAGGAAGGGCGGGAGAAGUUGAUAGAGGAUAUGCGGGAGAAGUGUACCUGGGAUGUGAUUGACGUAAGUAUAAGCUUGGUUUAAAAAAAUUGUGUUGUGUGUUAUUGUUGUUUGUGUAUUUAAAUUUAUGUAUUGUGUUCUAGUUGUUUUUAUGAUGCGACAAUUGAAAUUUAUGGGUGUACUCAUCCAUCCAAAUUUAAAUCAGUUAGAAAUAUUUGAGAUAUUUGUUUUGGGUUGUGCAAGCAUGAAAGGUAGUUGUUCUGGUCCAUAACAUAAUAUUGACACCACAAAACCUCAACAAGAUAACCUGUUAAGAUUGUCAAUGGUGGUAGAGGAGAUGGGAGACACCUUAUUGAUGAUAUUAAAACAUGAACCAAGUCAAUUUAAUAUACUUGGAAAUAAAUGUGUUUUGAAUAUGGUAUGUAUCUCUUUUGUAUGAUUUUAUCAUUUUUGAAUGUUCAACCAUGACUGACAAUUUGGAAUUCCCUGGAAAUGAUGCAUAUGGCUUUUUCAUGUGGAUCAAGUGCAAAUAGAUAUGCAGUAUUUUUUGUUUAAAUGAUUCAAAGGUUUGAUGAUAAAAUGAUUUAGGUUCAAAAGGUUCGGUAUAUAUAUGAUGAUGCAAUAAUAGUAUGCGACAAUAUAUGUUUAAAAGUUUGACACAUUCUGGAUAAUCUGUAUAUAGUUCUUAAUGUAGGUUCAAAGGUUUGACGUAUUCAUGAUUUUCAAGGUGGGUAUAGUCUUAAGUUUCCUGCCAAAAAAAACCAUAUCCCUCUUGCAGGUAGGUUCUAUUAUUAAAAGAAGGAGGUUCCUAAAAUGUUCCCUAGAGUCAUAGACCCAUUUUGAGAUAUCAUUGUCUUAAACGGGUGACUCAUAAGACAAUGAUGCUCCCAAAAGGAUCUACUUUAGGCGUGACGUUUCGUGUUGGUCAUAAUCGAGACAUAACAUCAAGGAGGUCAACAUGAAUUUACAACUUACUAUCUUUUGUGUAUACUCAAGCUCGGGUAUAAAGUUUUACUCUCAUGUAACAACAUGAAUCCCAACCUACAAUAGGGAAUAUAACAGAUAGCCAAAAUAUGAUAAAUAUAUAAAGCAAUAAAAGAUGCGAUAAAAUAAAAUAAAGAAAAAGCAAGUAAAACAAUAAAGAUAAACACCCAAACAUUCAAGGAAAACAAUCAAAACUAGGCUUGACUUACCUAGGGACUCCCCAACAGAGUCUCCAGCCUACUGGGUAGUCCUAGCAAGCAGUCACUAGUUGUCGCGCUGUGAAAAAUAUUCGAGCACAUCGCACGCUCGAAAAUACAUCAGAGACGCCACUGAAUUUUAUUUAUUCUUAGACAAAGGAAAAAUAUCAAUAAAAACCAAGGAUUCAACGAGAACCAUUUUAAUUGUUCUUUGCACGGAUGUGAGUUAUUAUCUAAUGGUUACUUGUGAUUGCUUUUAAUUAAGGAGAAAAAAAUAAAAUUUUAAUUAAUGUGUUCGCCAAGGAUUCAAACUCGCGUGCAUAUGUUAAAUCCAAUUGCAUGUUCCACUUUACACUUGCAUUAUGCUUGCAUUACACUUGUAUUAUGCAAUUGGAUUUCUCAUAGAUGUAUGAUUCUUAGCAUGAUCCCUUAUUAAUCAAUAAGGGAUCAUGCUAAGAAUCAUACAUCUAACAUAUAAACUAUGAGGAAAGUAAAGGCAUUAACAAUUGGAUUUAACAUGUAUAAACCCUAACUCCUAAUAUACCAAUAAUUAAAAUUAAAAGGAGAAUCAAUUAAAAUGUAACCUAAUUAAAAUCUAAUAAAAUGGAUUAUGUAUGUUCAUGUGCAUUUAGUAUGUGUUUUUAAUGUUUAUUUAAUGUCUAUUUAAAUGUGCUGCAAAAAUGGUUAAAAGAAAAUAAAACAAUAAUUAUAAAAAAAAUUAAAACUGUCGGGGAUUGUAUUAAGGUGGGAAAAGCCAUGUAUUAAAACUCAGGGUAGUUAGUGUCACAUUCAAUGCAGAAAGAGCCUUAUGUUUGACUGAGAAAAAGCCAUACUGAACUAACAACAAUGGAGAAACUUCAAUUCGCAUAAAAUCGAAAAGACCAACUUUGAAGAAAGACUGAUUCACAAAACUACGAAUAGUUUCGCCUUUUCGUUGAAACCGGGCGAAUGGUUUAGGCUGCUUCUUUUGAUUUGCUUUAGCUUCUUUUCUUUUCCCUUCUUUUACUUCCUUUUUGUUAGUUUCUUUUUCUGUUCAUAGACUAUUGUUCACUCUCUUCACGGUUGUUGUUGCUGAUGUUUCGUUUUGAAUAAGUUAAUAUGUAUGAGGUUCAAUCGGUGAAAUUUCUUAGCCAAGUUUAUUUUCUUUUUUGUUUUAAGUUGGUCAAGAAAUGGAGUUAGGGGUGUUAUUUAUUUUGUGGUAAUUGUUUCCAUGUGCGUAUCUGAAUUGAUUUUAGGAAAUGGUUAUGGUUGGAUUCUUGAUAUGUAUAUGGUUUAAUGCGGUAUUUUGGUAUUGCUGAGCUUGAAUCAGAUUUUAUAGUAUGGUUUAUGAUUUGAAGGAAAUUUUGGAUAUGAAUAUGAAUUGACUUAGAUUUCUUCGGUUUUCUUAGGAUAUGAAUAAUUAUGGGGCUGUUUUGGAUCAUGAAUAGUUUGUUAGUAUCGAAAUUCUCUAAUUCUCUCAGUGGGGCAUGAUUAAAUUAGAAGAAGGGAGAAGAAGGAAAGAACCACAAUUAUCAUAUUCAUCACUAGCAAUGCAAAGAAAGUUCAAGAACGGUAAAUAUGCAACAAAUCGGAAAGUAGUUUAAGGCUUACCAACGGAGGGGAGGAUUCCUCUGAUUAUUGUUGCAAAUAAUCGUCGGCGAAUUUACCAAAGAGAAACUCGUAAAACUUCAAAGUAAACUCUUUCAAUCCAAUUAAUCGCUUGAUAAUUAUGGUUGAAUAUAAAUGAUGAACGUAGAAGAUGAAUCUUGAAUGUAGAAUAUUAAUGAACAUGCUUGAAUUUUGACGAACUUUGAAUGAUGAUUGUUGAUGAUAAUGUGUGAAUUGUUGAAUGUUUGAUUAAUUGUUUAUUGAAAUUAGACUAUGGCUAAGUUCCACCAAAUUUAAAACUUCAAUGUGAAAUUUUAGAUGGUGAUGAAUAUGAACUUUGGUGGUGGUGAGGGAGUGAAGAAAGAAGAUAAUGAUGAGAGAACUUGAUAAAAAAAGUGGUGGGAGAAUGGGUUAAUAUAAGUUAAGUUAGUUUUUCUAGUUAGGUUAAUUGGGUCCAAAAUUGUGAGAAAUAACAUGUUUAUAUAUGCUUUGUAAAUGAACGAAUACUCUUGGAUUGUGAUUCAAGUAAGAGGUUUAUCAAUGGUUUGGAAUUAAUUUAAACUUUAGUUGCAGAUCAAUAAUUUCAAUCCUUGGAUUGAUUAUUAAGAAUGGUUAGGAUUGAGUGAAAAAAUGAAAAUUCUGAUUUGUGUUUGUUUGGAAGUUAUUGUGUUAGUUUGGUAGUUAUGGUAGUUAAUGGUUAAUUGUGUAAUUGAAUGGUUUGUGAAUGCAUAGGUAGUUAGAGACAAAUGAUGCUUGGAUUUUGCAAAAGUACCAGGUUGAAAUGUAAGGCAAAAGGUCACUAGUAAUUAUGCAUGAAACUUGAAAUUUUUGAAUGUUUUUGCAUUUGAUUUUUCACCAUUUUUGCCUUGAUUUAUUUGUGAAUUAUCCAUGAAUUUAAGUGCUUUUGAGAAGUGAUUUUAUGUUAAAAAUAAGCACUUUUGAAUGGUUUGAACUCAUGGAUCAAAUUCUGAUUUUUUUGGCAUGAAUCAAUGUUGGGAAGUGUUACAAAAAUAAGUAUUGAAUUCACUACAUGGUUCAGAAUUUUUGUGUAGUGCUGAAUUUUUUCAUGACAUUUCCAUAGAAUUUUAAUCCAUGAUAUGAAUGUCUAACUUGGUUUACCUACUUUCUUGUAGAAAAUUGAACAUUGUAGUGAAAUAAUGAACUUGAAGCAGUAUUGGAAAGUGAAGAACAAGCUCUGAAAGUGAAGCUUGAUGGAGGAUAUAAAUUGUUGAAAAUUAGCAUUUGACAUAAUCAUGACAUAAGUCAUUUUUCAUGAAUAAUGAUGAAUCUUGAUCAAAUGCUUGUAAAAUAGGUCUAGGAAAAUUUAAGAGUCAAAAUCAAGUCAAUAGUCAACAAUUGAACAAAAGUCAAUAGUUGACCAAAAAGUCAAUUGUAUCCAAAAGAUGUAGUUUGUUUAUCCUCAAUUGUAUCUCAAGCAAUAUGCUUUGUACUAUGAAUUUUCAAUAAAUGAAUGAAAUAUUUUUUUUAUUCCAACUUUGUCUUUUUCUUUGAAUUCAAACAAACUUCUAAAUUAAGUAACAAUCAUUCAAAUCCCUCUGAUAACUAUGAAUCUCAAAUAAAGAGAUGAUUUGCACCACAAGUAAUAUGAAAAAUAAACCUGAAUAAUCACCAAAUAACAUGUCUCAAAAACCCACUUAAACUAAUUAAAUCCAUUAUUACCGAAUUUUUGACCCACUUACGAAUUAUGCAAAAUAUGAUAAAUGAAACGCUAAAAUGAAUACCUAAUUGGAUAACAAGAUAACCAUGCAUGCAGAUGAUUUAAGCACGAGACAAAUGAAAAAUUGAAAAUGACUGGGACAAAAUUGAGGUAUGACAGCGUCACAGGCAAUGGUAUGACCCAUGAGUAUGCGUUAGAGGCUAUCGCGCCUUAGACAAAAAAAAUGAGUGCAUGCGUCACAGGAAAUGACACAUCAUCUUAAGGGAGAAUUUUUUUUGUUUAAAGCAUUGUAAGUUUGGUAUUUUUUUUAAAUGGUUAUUUAGAGAUUUUUUUUUUGAAAAAACAUGAUUAUUUAAAAAAAAUAAAACCUAAAAUUCAUUUUCACUUUUUAAAGGAAAAAGGCAUAUUUAUUCUUUGUGAAAGGUCAUGGAUUCAAACUUUGGCAAAGACAAAAAUAUGUUAUUUUCAUAAAUUUUAAUGAACAUUAUUUGAAUUUUUUACUAAAAUAACCCACAUUUUCAAAAAAAUUCCCAAAGUAAUCCAUAUUUAGAUAAUUUCCCAAAAUAAUCCACUUUGGAGAACUAAUGCAAGAUGAAUUGGCGUCUGCUCUCUAAGUUAAAGAGGUGUCUCCAAUUGGAUUGGCUUAUGCACUUAGUGUUGCCAAUCCAAUUGGUGCAUAUGUGUUAGGUUUAAGAGGAGUGACCAAUUGGUCUGUCACUUAUGUGUGUUGUGUAAUUUUUUUUUUAAAAACAAUGUAUAUUUUAUAUAAAAGUCGAAAUCGGACCAAUUGGUAUUAAUAUGCCUUUACAUACGAAUACCAAAAAGACUAAUAUCGUUGAUCGGGAUGACCUAACCGACCUCCAGUACCACAUCCCCUAGCUACCCGAACGUGUGGUCAUAACUCAUGUUAAUGAUUCACUUCAGGUGUUUGAGGAUUUGAUGGCCCAGGAACAUCACCUGCAGAAGAUUCCCUAAGAUAUUGAGACAAAUCUUUGUAGUCAUGUGUACGCAAUAAAGUGAUACCGCCAUAGUUGAGUUCGUGACCCAUGCCAUAGUAGUUGGAUUGUGUUUAAGUAAUUGGAGGGUGACCGAUACGAUUGAAGGGCAACGUUGGUGUGAAUGAUACGUCGAGGAAAUGUUGAAAUGGUUAUUUUGGUGUUUGGUAGCCAUAUGAUUGUUGCAUGUUUUGGUUUUGUCAUGUUUGGGUUUCUUGGCUAUAGUAGGAGGAAUGGCGGUUGAUGUUAAAUGAUCACUGAGUGUUUUGGCUAAGAUGGCUAUGAUAGGGUGAUGUGUUGGAUGCAUAGUGAUGUUGGGUAUCUUGAUGAUGAUCUUCUUGUUGGUGGUACAUGCUUUUGGUAUUGUGGUCAGGUGUUUGACAUGUUAAGGUCGUAGGCUUAUCUGUUUGUGGGCUGAUAAUUUUGAUGGGUAGGGGGUUGUGAGUAACCGGUCCGGCAAUGUUGUGGGGGGUUAGGUGUUGAACCUUCUUGUGUGUAAGUUACCUGGUGUGUUCGUAUAGGUAUGUAUCCCUGGCGAGGAACCCAAAUCCAACCAAUCUGUACCGAGUCAUAUACUUACGAGUUCGUUUUUCUUCAGUUGGCAUCGCAUCGCUAAUUAAGACAUGGUCUUGUCGGUGCUUUCAUUUUCGACACUCAGAUCUAGCAAAGCUUUGCCAAGGGCUAAAGUUCCAUUGGUCGUUAACUUUUCGUAGAUGUCAUUCUCCAAGGUUUGACAGGGGAUCUUGGAUGUGUUGAAGCAUACUGAACUACAAUUUAACACAGUCACUAUGAUGCAUCUCCACAAUCGUAAAUCUUAUGAUCGAUGUGCAUCCAGCCCAAACAGCUGCAUCUUGUUUGUUGAUUUCAUAGUCAUGAUCCAAGUUUAGAUAUGGACGUCAAAUGAACUGGAGAGUGAAAAUAUAUUAUAUUAUAAAAUGAGUCAUUUUAUAAAGAAAUUAUUAUGAAUUAAUCCGGUUAAUGACAAUACAUUUGUUAGUCGAAGGUGAUCCAAGAGAAUGCGAUAUCGGGUAAUACAAUGUCUAAGACAUUUGUUGUAAGUCAUACCAUGAGCCGACCAUCUGCAAUAAAAAAGUAAAUAUAUUAUUUAAAGAUAAUAAUCAGUAAAGUAAAUAUAUUAAUAACUUUUUGUUACAAUAAUAUUAAUAAAAAAAUUAAAAAAUUAAAUUAUUUGAAUAAAAAAUUCACAAUUAUCUUACAAUUAUUUUUUAAUUACAAUUAUAUCAAUAUAUGUAUCAACUAUUUGUACAUCAUUAAAAAUUUCACAUAAAUUAUAACAACAAUCUUUUUAUUGUAGUUUUAUAUAAUAAAAUUUAAAUUUUUAACAAUUUUAAAAUUAACAAACCAAAUAUAUUAAUAUUGCACAUCACACCGUAGUCAUACCUAAACAACUUAAAACAAAUACCUAAAAUAGGUACAAAUAUAAAAAUAAAAUAAAAAACAUGAGAUUUAAAAUCAAAAUUAAAUCACUAAUGAUAUCUUUUAUAAUAAUUUAAAUUCAUAAAAAAAAAACUUUAUAUGUAUGUAGCUCUCGACUUAAGACCAUAUAUUUUCUUUUUUAUAAUUAAUUCAUAUUGUUGAUAAAAAAAUAUUGAUUAUAUUUGUCAAAAUAAAUUAUUAUAAAAUAAAUAUAUUGACUAGAUUUAUCACACACAAAAAUUCUUGAAAUAAUUAAAAUUCAAUAUAAAAAUAAUAAAAAAAUUACAUCUGCGCAUUCAUGAUUAAAAAUCAAAAUCCUUACUCUUGAGCUUACAAAGCUCGCACACUUGUGCAUUAAUCAGUUGCACUAUAUCUUAGGAGUAUCAAUUGGCUUUAUUGAUAUAUAAGUUGAAUAUAAUAUCACGGUAUGGAUACAAAUUAAGAGAGACAAAUUAUAAUGGAAUCAAAUGGCUCUAACUAUUUGCAUAUUUGAAUGUCACAAGUUAAAGCUCAUCUAAUGUUUUCAAUAUAGGAAGAUAUACACCAUGGUUACAAAACAUGGCACAGUAGCAGGGCAUGAAGCUAGCAGAUGCAAUUAUUUAUCAACAAAUACUGUUAAUUUCUUUCCUUCAAAUAGGAAGAAUCAACGUGGAGAGGAUAAAGGUCUACCGCUGAUGAAGAUGAAGCAGUCCAUGGCCCAUCACUAAAUAAACUCUGACUUUGUGUUUCUGACGUAUUGCUUAUCUUAUUUUCUUCUAUCUGAUAGUAAUACUUCCUCAUUACUUCCAACUUCUUUUCAUCCAUUACUUCACUUGAAUCUGAAACAAAUUCUGGAACCGCAUUCCUCCCUUCAAGGAAACUCACCACCGACGACAUGGACGGCCUAAGGUUUGAAGUGACAUUCGUGCAUAGAAGAGCCACAUUGACUACCGCCAUAGCUUCUUUUUUGUUGAAAUCUGAACCUAAUCUUCUAUCAACUAGCUCCAUUAGGUCACCCCUCUCUUUCAACAAAUGUGCCUGUUGAAAGGGGAAAUAAAAUAAAGAAUAGUUUGAUUUCAAACUCAGUCAUUCACGCCAAAUUGAUGCCACUAGUAUAUCAAUUAGAUGUUCAUGAUAUUAAGAUCUUAGAAAUUGAUAGUAAUCAUGAAAGGUUUUGUACAACUACUCUUCUAGAAAUAUUAAAAGUACAUCCUUUUUAUAUCCCUUCAUUGUCCUUCUAUGAAAUGUAUUCUUUACGAAGAAAUUUUCAAAAUAUUUUCAAAAUUAGCAUUCUGUUAAUUAAUAUUUUGGCUAAGUUGCUGAGUCUUCUUGUAGGUCUGAACAAGAAAAGGGAUAAAUGAUUUUAUUCUCUUUUAGAAUUGAACUAUUAGAUGAAAAAUGAACAAUAUACAUGACAAGGGACAAAGUGUAAGUAGAUAGUACAGUGGAUAUAAUCAAAUUUACAUGACCAAAGGAGAACAUCAUAAGAGUUACCCAAUCAAGAAGAUAGAAUGCUUCCUCCUUUGUCCGAUGAAGGGUGUUGUUCCUUCCACUAACGACUUCCAAGGCAACAAUUCCAAAACUAUAAACAUCUGCUUUGUCAGUCAAAUAACCAUGCAUUGCAUAUUCAGGAGCCAUGUAUCCACUGCAUAAUUGGAAAGUUUCAUUGAAAUGACUUGAUAUCAGACUUUUAGUUAAUAAAAAUAUACAGUUUGAAUUGAAUUCGAUAACUUUUGCAGUACAUUUUAAUAAACUAGGAGAGGCAAGAAUUAUAGUAACUCACUAGGUCCCGGCAAUUCUAGUACUAAUGUGAGUAUUGUCCUCCUCAUCAAGCUUGGCCAAACCAAAAUCAGAUAUCUUUGGGUCAAGAUUGGUAUCAAGCAAUACAUUAGUGGCCUUGAUGUCCCUGUGAACAACCUUCAGUCUUGAUUCUUCAUGGAGGUAUGAGGGUCAAGAUUGGUAUCAAGCAAUACAUUAGUGGCCUUGAUGUCCCUGUGAACAACCUUCAGUCUUGAUUCUUCAUGGAGGUAUGCCAAACCUCUAGCAAUACCAACACAAAUCUUCUGCCUUGUUGGCCAAUCUAAUUUAAUUUGGUGUUCCUCUGGACCUUUAUUUGUAAAUGUAAUAAAAAUCAGAAAAUGAUACCACAUAGCCAUGUGCUAAGUAAAGAUUGUAGACUAUCACAUAAAUAGAAACCUGAAUUAGACCAUAUAGGAAAAAUUACCAAAUAAAGCACGAGCUAAACUAUUGUUUUCCAAGUAUUCAUAUACCAGCAACAACUGAUCUCCCUCCACACAGCAGCCAUGGAGUUUAACGAGAUAAGGGUGUUGCAAAGCAGAAAUCAUGCCUAUCUCAUUUAAAAACUCACGAUUCCCUUGCUUUGAUUUAGAAGAAAGUUGCUUUACUGCUAUCAAUGUCCCAUUGGGUAAACAUCCCUGCAUUUUCAGAAGUGCUAUUUAGUUAGAAGUUUAAAAAGAAUUUUCUGAAAAAUACAUGUAUAAAUAUACAAUAAAAGCAUGACACUCAAGAGGGUUUGGAAUGCAAGAUACCUUGUAAACAGGACCAAAUCCUCCUUCUCCAAUCUUAUUGGAAAUAUCAAAGUUAUUUGUAGCUGCUUUGAUUUGUCGUAAGGUAAAUAUACCCGUUUGAACGUCUAAACUCUUCAAGUCUGUUAAUUGAAGUAAAAGAACGAUCAAAGAUCUCUUACACUAAGAAAAUUACAGACCGACACUCUGCAUAGACAAUCCAUUUUUUGUAAGCAUGCAACUUUCUUUUACCAAAACAAAACUAGUCUCACAUUCAAUAACAUGAUAUACUACUAAAAGUACAUAUUCAAACUUUACUGGGUUACACAAUGAUAGAAUAUCAUGAGAGAGAAAGAAUAAUAUUCAGUAUUAUAUUCAGUAUCAAUAAGUUGCAACAGUGGCUCUUUAUAUAUAGAGCAGCUAGCACUAACUGAAUACAGCUGGCACAGCAUAGCUGGCAUAGAAUACACCACUAACUACUAUAUACUCUAUUAGUCCCCCUUAGAAACUGAGGGUACAGCAAGCAGACUAUGUUUGUUGAACACUCUCAGUUUGUCCCUUAGAGGAAGAAACUUGGCUGCUGAGAGUGGCUUGGUUAAAGCAUCUGCCCAUUGAUCCAUAGCUGGCACAUGUUCAACAAUGAGGCUUUUGGACAAUAACUUUUCCCUCACAAAAAUAUAUCAAGCUCCAUAUGUUUUGUCCUAUUAUGCAGAACAGGAUUAUGUGCAAGAGUGACUGUGCUGAGAUUGUCACAGAGAAGUUUGGGAAUGGAGAUUUUGCAGUGAAGCUCAAGAAGAAGGGACUGCACCCAUAGGAUUUCUGCAGCAAGCUGGGCCAUACCCUGUAUUCAGCCUCAGCACUAGACCUAGCCACCAAUUGUUGCUUCUUAGACCACCAUGAAAUCAAAUUAGGGCCUAGAACACACAGGCUCCUGAAUUAGAGCGCCUGUCAUCAGGGUCUGAUGCCCAAUCAGCAUCACAGAACCAAGCAAAGAUAGAGGUUGAUGAGCAGGAGCAGGCUGAAUGAGAGUAAUCCAUGAUGUAGAGUACCACUUAGGUAUCUCAAAAUCCUUUUAACUGCCUUCCAAUGUUCUUCCAAAGGAUGAGAUAAAAACUGGACACCUUAUUUACAGAAAAUGAGAUUUCAGGUCUGGUAAUAGUGGCAUACUGAAGUGCCCCCACAACAGACCUGAACUGAGUUGGAUCUGGAAUAGCAGCAGAGCCAACUUUUGACAGUUUACUUGUAGAUACCAUAGGAGUAGGCAUACUAUUUGCAUUGAGCAUGUUAACCUUAGCAAGCAAAUCAGUUAAGUAUUUAGCUUGAGAAAGAAAGAGUGAACCAUUAGCCAAAUGAGUAACUUCUAUGCCAAGAAAAUACUCCAAUUUUCCCAACUGUUUCAGAGAAAAAUCAGUAUUUAAUUUGCUGAUCAGCUUGGUAAUGAAGGGGGCAGAAUUACCAGUGAUGAUAAUAUCAUCAACAUAGACCAAUACCAUUAUAGUUAAGUUUGCAGUAUGCAGCAGGAAUAGGCUAGGAUCACAUUUGCUGGCAUGAAAACCAUGUUGCAGUAAAGAGCUCUUAAGCUUGUCAAACCAGGCUCUAGGAGCCUGCUUUAGCCCAUAAAUAGCCCUGUUCAGCUUGCAUACAAGAGUCUUGUCAGGAGCUUCAAAACCAGGAGGUUGCUGCAUAUAUACCUCUUCCUCAAGGGUGCCAUUCAGGAAGGCAUUGUUCACAUCAAUUUGNGUAAUCCAUGAUGUAGAGUACCACUUAGGUAUCUCAAAAUCCUUUUAACUGCCUUCCAAUGUUCUUCCAAAGGAUGAGAUAAAAACUGGCAAACCUUAUUUACAGAAAAUGAGAUUUCAGGUCUGGUAAUAGUGGCAUACUGAAGUGCCCCCACAACAGACCUGAACUGAGUUGGAUCUGGAAUAGCAGCAGAGCCAACUUUUGACAGUUUACUUGUAGAUACCAUAGGAGUAGGCAUACUAUUUGCAUUGAGCAUGUUAACCUUAGCAAGCAAAUCAGUUAAGUAUUUAGCUUGAGAAAGAAAGAGUGAACCAUUAGCCAAAUGAGUAACUUCUAUGCCAAGAAAAUACUCCAAUUUUCCCAACUGUUUCAGAGAAAAAUCAGUAUUUAAUUUGCUGAUCAGCUUGGUAAUGAAGGGGGCAGAAUUACCAGUGAUGAUAAUAUCAUCAACAUAGACCAAUACCAUUAUAGUUAAGUUUGCAGUAUGCAGCAGGAAUAGGCUAGGAUCACAUUUGCUGGCAUGAAAACCAUGUUGCAGUAAAGAGCUCUUAAGCUUGUCAAACCAGGCUCUAGGAGCCUGCUUUAGCCCAUAAAUAGCCCUGUUCAGCUUGCAUACAAGAGUCUUGUCAGGAGCUUCAAAACCAGGAGGUUGCUGCAUAUAUACCUCUUCCUCAAGGGUGCCAUUCAGGAAGGCAUUGUUCACAUCAAUUUGUUGGAUAGGCCACUUGUGUGUCACUGCAAGAGAUAAGUUCUUACAGUAACCUGUUUAACCACAGGUGAAAACGUUUCUGUAAAAUCAGUACCGGCCUGCUGAUGGAAGCCUUUAGCCACCAACCUGGCCUUAUACUUAUUGAUGGAACCAUCAGGGUUCUCCUUAACCCUGAAUACCCACUUGCAGCCAAUUGAUUUCCUAGAAACAGAUGGUGACACCAAGGUCCAAGUCUGAUUCUUCAACAGGGCCUGAUAUUCAUCUUUCAUGGCCUGAAACCAAUGGGGAGAGGCCAAGGCCUGACCAACAGUAGUAGGUUCCACAUGAGUGAGUAAAAGGGUGGGGUGAAGUUUAGGUUUUAUAAUGCCACUUUUGGCUCUAGUUUGCAUGGAAUGAGUAUUAUGGGGAAGGAUAAAGGUUGGAUGGGGGGCUGGUUCAGGGCUGGAAUGAGCAACAGAUUCAGGACUAGAAGAAGGAGAGAUAGUACUAGCCUCUGCAAUAUCAGAGGUGAGAGGAGUGAGAGAUGCAGGAGUGAUAGGUGAGGUGAUGGGAUUAGGGGAGGCCAAAGAUGUAUUGCUGGGAGCAGGAGAGGUACUGCCGGAAGGUGUUCUGCUAGGAGAAUUGAGAGCAUGCCCAGGAGUAGACAUAGAACUGCUGCCAGAAGCAGUAGUGGUAGCAGGGAUAGAAAUAACUUGAUGGAGAGGAGCUACAGAAAGAGGACCUGCUGGUAUAGACCAGGCAGAAGUGGGAGGAGAAGAAGAUGUGGUAGCAGCAGGAGAAGUUGAAGGAAAUAGAGAAGCAUAAGGGAAUCGUGUCUCAUGAAACAAAACAUCCUUAGAGAUGUAGAUACGACCAGUGGCUGCAAGACACUUAUAGCCCUUAUGGUUAGUGGAGUAGCCAAGAAAUAUGCACUCUUGGGAUCUAUAGUCCAGUUUAUGAGUGUUAUAGGGGCGAAGAAAAGGAAAACAGGCACAGCCAAAGACUCUAAGAUGAGAGUAAUCUGGAGUUUUGUGAAGAAGCUUGGAAUAAGGAGAUUGGUGGGCAAGAGAUAAACUAGGCAGCCUAUUGAUUAAAUAAGCAGCUGUAACAAAGGCAUGGUCCCAAAAUUUGAGUGGUAAAUGAGAGUGGGCUAAUAGAGCCAGGCCUGUUUCUACAAUGUGACGAUGUUUUCUUUCAACUAAACCGUUCUGGUGAUGAGCAUGAGGGCAUGUAAACCUAUGAGAAAUACCAAGAUCAGUGAGAAAUUUGGUGAGAGGUCUAAACUCACCACCUCCAUCACUCUGCACAACCUUAAUUUUACAGUUAAACUGAAGCUCAACCAUGGUUUUAAACUGAACAAACUGAGUAAAGGUAUCAGACUUGAGUCUCAAGGGAAAAACCCAAACAAACCUAGAAAAGGCAUCUACACAUGUCAAAAAAUAGGAGUAACCCCCUGAUGACUGUAUGGGAGCUGGUCCCCACAAGUCACACACAACUAACUCAAAGGGUUGUGUAUAAACAGUGGUGGAUAGAGAGGUAGGCAGUCUAUGGGAUUUCCCUAGACAACAGGCAGUACAUAGUUCAGUUAGGGACCUGGAAGGGAGAGGAAUGUGACAAGUUUNNNNNNNNNNNNNNNNNNNNNNNNNNNNNNNNNNNNNNNNNNNNNNNNNNNNNNNNNNNNNNNNNNNNNNNNNNNNNNNNNNNNNNNNNNNNNNNNNNNNNNNNNNGAGUUCAUCCAAAGAGCUGAGAUCUUCCUUACUAUUGACAGCGGCGACGAUAGAAUCGUACUCCUCAGGGAGUGCAUCAAGAACGAUUUCAAUUAGGUUUCGAAGGGGAACAGGAUCCCCAAUUGAAAUCAAGGACUCAUUGAUUUCACGCACGCGCAUCAUGAACGAUUCAAUUGCGAGAUUACCUUUGGAAAGACGACGCAACUCCGAGCGAAGCUGGCGUGCUUUCGUCGUGAGCAACGUGGAGAAGUAACGGUGAACUUCCGUCCAUACCUGCCAUGCGUGCGUACAAUCAACAAGUUUCGGAAGCAGCGAAUCGGAGAUCGUGGAGAGAAGCCAGGUGCAGAUGAGAGCAUCUUGUUGCUCCCACUCAAGAUACGCAUCAUUCACCUCACUGAGAUUAGGAUCAGAAGACGACGGCGAUCGCUGAGGAAUCACCGGUACUGUGACGAAGCGUUGAAGCUUGUGGCCACGAACAACACCAUCAAUUUGUUGUUUCCAUUGCUUGAAAUUUUUAUCAUCAAGCUUUACAGAGAUCAGAUUUGAAAGCUUGAUGUGAGAGGAAGAAAAGACGCCGUCGUUGCGAAACGGUGACGCCAUGGAUGAGGGUCACUGGAUCGGAAAAAAAUGAGCUCUAGAUACCAUGAUAGAAUAUCAUGAGAGAGAAAAUUUGAAAGCUUGAUGUGAGAGGAAGAAAAGACGCCGUCGUUGCGAAACGGUGACGCCAUGGAUGAGGGUCACUGGAUCGGAAAAAAAUGAGCUCUAGAUACCAUGAUAGAAUAUCAUGAGAGAGAAAGAAUAAUAUUCAGUAUUAUAUUCAGUAUCAAUAAGUUGCAACAGUGGCUCUUUAUAUAUAGAGCAGCUAGCACUAACUGAAUACAGCUGGCACAGCAUAGCUGGCAUAGAAUACACCACUAACUACUAUAUACUCUAUUACACAACAUGCGCAGUUUUUUUUAUCGCGUGAAUUAUUCAUGUGUUAGCAAAAAGUUUGAUAAUAAAUUAAUAGUGGCAAGAAAAGAAAUUCAUUUGUAAUCACCUUUUGCUAAUGAGUUUUUCUUUCCAAAACAUCCUUUCCACCAAAGUAUACCAAAUACUAGAAUGAUAACAAUUGUUGCUGCAACCACAAUUCCAACCACAGCUCCUGCAGAUAUGCUUCCAGGUGGAGAGUCUGCUUGAUUAUUUUACGAGGCAUUUUAAAUACUAGAUCAUACAUAACAUGGAGAUCAUAGUAUAAGAUUAGGAAUGUAGAAAGUAUAACCCACCAGAUUCCACUGAUAUGGCAGAUAUAAGAGGACCAAAUACUGAUCUAUUUGGGAGAGACUGUGUCCCUUUUCCAGCCCAAUACAAACGAAUCUCCAAGGUAUUACUUGUAACAACAACAUCUUUGAACGGUUUUAUGACUUUCUUACCAACUCCUCCUGCUUCUAUGGCAAUAUUGAAGUCCUUUUGCACCGGCUUUCCCUGUAACAUUCAAUCACAACCUUAAUAUUUCAUGAUGAUUACAACCUACAAGAAUUCUAAUCGCUGAUUUGUAUUAGAAAUAUUGUACAAUUUGAUUUUAUAAGUAAUGCCAAACAAGGGAACUUUUGAUCAGAAAAAUAUUCAAUCUUUAUUGACAUAUUCUACAUUUUUUAAUCGUCAGUAUCCCUAUAUAGGAACAGUGAUCACUUGACUAAUGACCUUAAUUUUUAUUUUAUUUUUAUGAAACACCAAGUGACUGAUGAAAUAAAAUUGUUAAACCAUGUACCUGAAGGUAGAUAUCAAAUACACGUCUUCCAAGACUACCAUAAGUUUGGUCAUCUCUGAACAUUAUUUCAGCAAAAUGUAGAUUUACUGUGUAGCUUCCAUUUGCCAGGCAAAACCCAUAAUAAGUCAAAGAAAUAGCAGAACCACGGGCAUUCAUGUAUAAAUCAGCAUCUGCCAUAGUAAGUGUAGUGACAUUUUGUGGGGAAUAAGUUUCUCCGAGUUGGUCACUAUCAAUGAAUAUACCAGUGGUGCUAAAUGCCCAAUUUCCUGUUGGACUGACAUGGAAUUUAGCUGGUCCAGGUGAAUCUGAAUCGCCAUUAUAACUUGUUCUGUUAACUGUUUCUUGCUGUCCACCACAGUUUAUAUAAAGGGAGUAGGAGGCUGGAUUGAGCAGAUCAUGUGAGUGACUUUGGAAAUAUUAAGGAAACAGAAAAAUAACAAAAAAUAUAUUCCUUGAAAUUUUAUAUUUAUACUAAUUCUCUCUCUCUAACUAUCGCGUUUCUGUUAUGGUAGGUUAUAUAACUCUAGCUAGUCAAACAAACUCACGGUUUAUUUCUGCUGAUAUUUUUUCUACACACAGCCUGAUUGUAGUGUUUCCAAAGCAAAUUUAGGGAAAAAGAAGACAACACAUUUGUCAUUUUCAACCAACAAAAUUUCUGUUUGAGCUGAAAAGUCUACACAAUGUCAUGCUUGAAUUAUUGUAAAGUAAAUUUAGGGAACCUAAGCACUAAAAGAAAACCCUUUCCACUUAUGCCUCUAAUAAGAAACAUUUUUGUGGAAUCAAGAUUAGUAAAAGGUCUGCGGAUAAAUCGAGUGGAGAGUUUUCCUAACCUAAAUCAUUUGAUAAAGUACCAAUAGAAAGACAAGAUAUAACUCCUAUCAAAGCAUGUCGUUUCUUCUUGGGCUGAUAUUUUAAAUCAUUGAUCUUCUAUGCAUGUUUAGAAUAUUAGAACAUGCUUUGGUAAGAAGCAUGGCUGUCUUUGGUCCUCUGCUCUUGUACCUCUAAGUUUAAAAAAAAAAUGCAAAAAUAUAUAAAUUUUAGCUGUCUAUAUGAAAGUGACCAUGAAGAAACUCACGUUUGGUGCAUUCGCUCAAACACGAAACUGUUCCUCUGAGAGAAUGAUGUAAGGAAUAGAACAUGUUAGCAUGAUUAGUAUAAUAAGAUAAGAUUAAAAAAUAAUAAGAGAGAAAUGGAAAUAUAUAUAUAUUUGUAAGACCAAACUUACAUGUUCUUGUUUGCCCAUGAGGUAGAAAACGAGUUUCUGUGACAUAUUAGAAAAAGUGGUGUCUCAUAAAGGUUGUUAAGUUUGCAAACAAAUGCACACAAAUGCAGGGAUUCUUACACUUUAUCAUUUUGACAUAUCUGAUUCCCUUGGCUGAUGCUGAAGUUAUUGUAUGAAAGAUCUCUACAUACAGGUCAUAAAAUUUGAUUCAGAAUAUGAAUAAUACAACAAUCAGAGACUUAAUGAUGGACUCUUUUCCUACUAAGAUUAUACAACUAGGGUUCCUAAACAUAGAAAGAGAAUAACUAUAGAAAUCUCUAAGAAAUUUUUUAAAAAAAAAUCUUCUACAAUGCUUAUAUAAGCCAAUGCAUACACAUAGUAAGACAACUACUGCACUAUACUACAGAGUAGUGUUGCUUAGUAACUUUUGCAGAAAAUAUUCAGAAUAGUACUGUGAAUAUUUUUGUGUUGUACAUAUAUUAUUUCCUUGUAUAGUUCUUCCUAUUUUUUUGUUAGAAUCAUGUAAUUAAAUUUAAGAUCCCUGUAUAAAUUUAGGAUUCUAUCUCUAUCUUUAUUUAAGAAAGAGAAAUACAUGCACAAAUCAAAACAAUUGAGAAUUAUUCUUCUAUAGUGUCUUUCAACUUGGUAUCAAAAUAGAUCUUUGUAGCCCGCGCCUCUGUUUCAUCAUGACUGACAGUUCCUCAGUCAACAAUGAAGAGGAGAUUAAUAUUUCCAAAAACACUGCCUUCAAAUCAAGAGCAGAAGGGUGUUUAUGGUGAUCCUUAUUCAAUACUUUUCGACUCAAUGAGUCGAACUACUUUCAGUUGUCUCAAUCUGUCCAAAUGAACACCUGAGAAACUUGUUGGAAAUUCCAUGGGUCAACCCUAAAUUAUAAUAUAUUUGCAACAUAAAUAAAGUACAUUGUUUGUUCAAUCCAAGGAAUCAUACAAGUAGUAUUAAAAAAUAACUUACACGUAGAUGUUCGUUUUCCAAGGAGGUAUCGGUCCAGUGAGAAGGUUUCCAGUUAAAAAUCUGCCCAAAAAAGAAUGUCAAGAUAUUAGUAUGCAAAUCUUAAUAUUUCUUGAGGAGGGAAAUAAGCUAGUCAUCUUUAAUCACACCCAUUCAUCUGUCUCGAGGGACCCUUCUAUAUAUAGAAGUGUUUCAAUUCUUAGACACCGACUAAGACCAAUGAAAUAACAAAAAAUCCUAAACAUAUCACUUUGACACUCGUUAUCACACUUCGUAUAUUGUCACUUCCUUUUCAGAUAGAAAUGGCAUGUGAUCCUUUUGACACAAAAGUUGCUUCAGAAAGGUGCAAAUACAUUUCCUGAACUGUAGAAAUAAAAUCAAUGGUGGAUAUUUUUGCAGCUUUAAAACAUACCAAAAAUACAAUGAGCAGAAAUAUUCCUGCAACUUCAAGUAUUGCAACCAUAUAACUAACUAAAUUUCAACAUGACUCAUCCUUUUAGUAUAACAUUGAAAACUUGGUUUGAAUCUAAGUAGGAUUAUUCAGCUAUCCUAUUUCGAACUGAAAGUUGAAACUAGAAUUAUAGGCGUAAAGUAGCCAACAGAAAUGUGAUUAAAAAUAUACGCAAAAAGAAACUAUGAUGAAUUUCUUACAUGUAGUUCAUAACGUUGUUUAUGUCAGCGUAGGUACUUGGAAUUGUUCCACUGAAUUUGUUAAAGCUGAAAUCUCUGAAAGUGAUGUCAUAUUGAGAAUGAGUUAAAAAACUAGAGAAAAUUUGUCAUAAAAGACAUUCAAGCAAUAUAAUAAGCUGGAGAGCUAGAAAAAUGUCAUAUCUAUCCAAACAUUAAUUACAAAUACAAAGAUACCAAGGUUACAUAAUACGCUAAACUUACAAAAGAAACUUUAAUAGUUAGCUAUAAUGAAAUAAGAUGUAGCAAUUACAAGAUUUUUAAUGAUGUCAUAGUCCUAAGGUAUUCAGGUAGAGUUCCAUUGAUGUUGCAAUUCCUUAGAAUCCUGUGAAACAAUAAGAUAGACAACGAUAUGUUAUAAGUGUCAAUUUUUCUUUUUCUGUUUUUUUUUCUAUUUCUGAAAGAGACAGAGUAGUCAACUCACAGUUUGCUUAACGAUGUCAUAUUAUUAAGUUGUGGCAAAGGUGCAUAUUCAGAUCCAUUUAAAUCACUAAUUCUCCUGAAUAUCACAGUUGAACCGAAGUUAAGUAAACAUAAUUAAAAUGAAAGUUAAACAACAUCCCAUGCUUUAUCAGUAUAUAAAAUAUCAUACAUACAAAUCAGUUAAGUUUCUCAAAAGUGAAAUUAUGGAAGGAAUUGGUCCACUUAAUCCACUCCCUUGAAUGAUUCUGUCACAAGUAAAGUAACCAUGAAUAAUUUUCUUUUUUGAAGUCAAGCAAUACAAAAGCAAUUAUAUAGGAAAAUUAAAGAUAAAAAAGUAGAGUGCAUACAGCGUAUUGAUAUUAGUCCAGUUCUGAAUAAAAUCGGGUAUCUUUCCCGAGAAUUGGUUGUCCGAAAUUUGGCUGCAUUGAUAAAGGGCAUGAAAAUAUGAAUCAUCAUAAAAAUCAUUUUUUAAUUUAGCCACCAGUCAUCACUAAAUGUCACCAUAAAAUUUCAAGCUUACAAAUCUUGCAAUGUAGUGAGCUUGGCCAAUGUCGCAGGUAGCUCUCCAGAAAAAUUGUUAGAGGAAAAUCGCCUAUAUAUAAUUAAAAAACAAAACCGGAAAUUAUGAUUCUAAGCCAUGAAAAUCAAAGUAGACUUUAAACACUAGGUUUUCAUAUUCGGAGGAGGACGUCAAUUAAGGAAAAUAAUAAAGUACUUACAGUGUUCGAAUCUGGGGUAGAUUCCCAAGCUCAGAAGUAAUAUUUCCAGACAUUUGAUUGGCCGUUAACUCCCUAUCCAUUUCAGGUUAAAGUUAAGUUUGACUAAAACUCUUUCGAUUGAACACAAACAUGUUUAUGUACUUAUGAAAUAGACUUUUUUAGCCAAGUGGGAUAAUGAGAAACUCACAACUGAAUCAGUGUUGAUAUAUUUGCAAUCUCUUUCGGUAUUGAACCCGUUAAUCGAUUUCCAAGGAGAUUACUAUGAUGAUUACGAAACAUGUUGUCAUUAGGUUAUUUUUUUAAUGUAAUUACUACAAGUUUACAAGAAAAUGAAUGCAAAGAGUGGGAAAAAAGAAUAAAUAGGUAAAGUUUUAGAAGAUUCAUAUAGAACAACAAUCCAUGAUUAAAAACCAGAAAAGAAAAAUAAGAGUCAAAUCAUACAUGUUUAGAAGAUUUGUCAUGGAGCCCCAUUCUUUAGGAAUUGUACCGUUCAAGUAAUUGCGAGAGAGGUCACUGUAAUAGAGGGAGCGAGAGUGGGAGAGAAAGAGUUUGUCACGCAAUAGAUAUAUGUGGUUGAAGAUCUAAAACAAGUUCAAUAAUAUGGUUAAUUGGAUGUGGAAAAGUGUGAGAAACACGUACAUAAUUUGAAGGUAUUGCAACCUGUUCAGUUCCCGUGGAAGAGUGCCUUGAAGAUUUUGCCCUUUCAAACUUCUGUAUGUACAUUUUUCCAUAAAAAAGUUAUUAAGAAAAAUUAAUUUUAUGUUUCUUAGUUCAUAGAUUUACAAGAAAAAAUUGCAACAAGUUCUUCUGCAACAAAGUUUUAAAGCUGACUUUACUAUAUGUCAAACAUUUUUAACAAAAAUGCAUAUGUUUGAUAAUAUUGAUUUUACUUUAAAAUCUUAAUUUUAUUACAAGGUAUAGCAAUUGUAUAGAUGUAUAAUGAUGAGAACAUUAAUUUAAUGGUAGGGUAUAAGCAUAUCAAUUAAGUUUGCUACAUGGAAUUAACCGAUCUAACUCGUGUGUAUAUACAUACUGUAUAGAAUAUCAACGUCUGCCGCUAUAUCAAUGUAAAUACUAGAUUGCUACUGUAAAUGAAAAAAUACUCAAAUCGACUUAACUAGAUUUAGAAGUGGUGAUAGAAAAGGGUCAUUUCCACGAAAAUGAGACUUACAUUAUAGUAACAUGACAGAAGUUGUCCCCGGGAACAGAGCAGUUACAGGUUACAUUGUUUUCUAAGAUUUUGGGUAUGGGAGGCGUAAACCAGUUAGGUUUGUUGCUGCAUGGAUCUAUGUCGAAGUUCCAAUCCUUCUUACCAAGUGAUAUAGCUAUAUCUUCAAGAGCUUUCUCUAAAUAUACAAAUUCAGAAGCUAUCAGCUAAGUACUUAAAAAUUUCUAAUCAACAGACACAUGUUAUUAAAUAUAUAUACAGAAUUUCUAUAUGAGCAGGAAAGUACAUGGUAUUUAAACUAACAUGAAUUCUUAGAUAAAUAUACUAGAAAAGAAAGAUCAGAUUGAAGAAAUUUCUUUAUGAUUUGGGAGAUAUGGUAGAAAUACAUAUCAUACUUUCGUCCGGGUGAAUAGUAGUAGCUCCAAAAGCAGUUAGAGAUAUGAGCCAUAUGGCAAUGAGUGAAAGGAAGAAAAAUUGAGGGGAAGUGUUCAUGUUAAUAUUAACAAGGAAAAGAGAAGUUGAAAUAAAUCAAUAAUUUAGAGGUAGAGAGUCUGAACAUAUAUAUAGUGUGUGUAUUUGGACUUUGAAAAUGCAUAUUUAUAAGGGUGGUGUAAAUUUUUUAUGUUAUUGUCUAGUUCUACAGAGAUUGGCAGCUAAACCCGCGCAUUAAUAUUAAGUGUUAAGAAAAGGACAAUUGUGUGUUCAACCUGCAUCCGAGCAUUACAAAUAUUUGUGCAACUUUUUAUUAUUGAUAAGUACUUACAUGACACUGUGGUGUCAAUUUAUUCUUUAAAAUUAUUGAUAUGGCAAAUGCAAAAGCCAUCAAUCAUAUUAGUCCUUUCGAAACGGUCAAUCUAAUCCCUAAAACUGUUUAGGAAUAACUAGUUUGAUCGAGAUUUUUUUUAAUUUAAGCAUCAUUUUAAAAUUUUAUUAUGUUCAGACAAAAAAAUGAGAUCAUCAACAAUUUUAUAAAGUAAACUGAUGAAUCAGGCACAAACAAAACAAACUAAUGACAAUUAUUUUAAGGUCAAAGAUGUUUAAUAACCAUUGAUGAUUGCCACAGUGAUGAGUCAUGAGACAUAUAUUUAAAGAUUGAGGAUGGAAAUGGCCCAGAAAAAGCAUAUUAUAAUAUGCAUGUGUUAUUGAAUUGAAAGUGUCAAAAUCAAACGUCAUUAUUUUAAAAAAACAAACGUCAUUUAGACUAUUAUACAUGUGAUUUUGAAUUGAAAGUGUCAAAAAUUAAACUAAUUAUUUAAAAUAUUACUUGGUUUGAAUUAAUGCUUUCUUAUACUGUGAGAAUUCUUCUGUAGAUCAAAACCACCUAUUGACUCAUUUUCCAUAUUCAACUCCGUUCUUCGCUGCAACCAACACCAACUAAGAGCUGCAAUCUAUAGGGAACCAAAACUCCGCUGCGAGGACACCACCACUGUCAAGCUCCGCCGUGAAGCUGCAAGCACCUUAAAGUUGGUAUAAAAACUAAGUGCCAAACCUCCUAAAACAGUGAGAAACCUCAAUAUUAGAGCAUAGGAAGCUGGGACAAUAAACGGAAAUUGAUACAAAAUGUUCCCAAGACCAUCCACUAGUGUCUUGAAGUUAAGCUCACUCACAAUAUAAUCAAAUGCAUCAUCAAAAAGUUUCUAAGAGCUGGUACAAUUGAAGAAACAUUGAGAUCAAGUGAAAGGAAAUCAAGAGCAUAGUAAUCACGAGCCAUCGCUUUGUAAUAUUGAUUAACCAAGUGAACAACAUGACCAAUUAUAGAAGAUCUUGUCUUCUGAUGUCUCAUUCAUAUUCUGAAGUCGGGAAAAGAGAGUUUUCCAUCAGAUGUUGCUGAAAGAUUCCCAGGAUGUGGACAUGCAUGGAAAUAUCCAUAGUCAAGUAGUUGUCUCAGAUUGCAUUAUAUGCAGUGUUCAUGAGAUCCAAGACUUUCAAUCCUUGUCUCUCAAUAGCUUCUUGCUCAUUAAGUUUGACUCCUUCAACCCAAUCCACUACUAGUACUUUAACACUUGUAUAAUUUCGGGAAAUAUCAAGAACAACGAAGACAAAUAUCUUGUCUAUCGACAUACAAUUUCUUGAAUCUCCUUGCAUUUUUUCCCUCAUGAAGUAACUUACUAGUAUCAUCAGAGGAGUAACAAGUAACAGCACCAAACACAACUAAUACAUAGUCAACAUCAAGCAUCCCAUUAUGUCAUAAUCCUCAUCCUCCUAAGAUGACAUUGCAUGCCUAACAAUUGUUAUGCGUGCAUUGUUCUAGGUGUUAUUGUCAACAAUAAUUGUUCUAUUUCCCAUGGUAGUGAUUUGAUAACCAUAAUUCAACUACUAAUGAGGCAUACUGCAGGUGUAGCAGCAAGAAUUAAUCAAGCCAUAACACAAACAAAGUACAUGCUUCCAAGACCAUACAUAACUAUGAAAUUGUGGCAUCCUUGAAGCAAAAAUAGAGCCCGGCAUGGAAAAGGAACAGUAAUAUAUGGAUUAUUCGCAACAUUACCGAUAACACCAAAUCAAAGUUGCCACAAAGAUCCUUACCGCAGAAUUCCAAAUCUGAGUCAAACCAGCUCCAAAACUGGGAGAAACCGUGUUCGAUUAGGGAAAGAGUAGUACGGAAACUGAAAUAAGGAUUGAAUUCGUGGAUCAUGGAUUCUUAACGGAGAACACGGAAGAGACGAGUGAUGAAAGCAAGGAUGUAGAAUAAACCUAGCGUUGUUACACAUAUUAGAAGCUCUUGUUGUUUUGUUUUGAGUUCUAGGGCUUUCGGAAGGGAAAUUGAGUAGAUUUUGUGCCAUUGGUGGCAAUGAUGUUGGUGUUGAAGUGGUGACUGCCAUUGUUGUAGGUGAGAAAUGGGGAUUUUCUCAGAGAAAUGUCUGAGAAAAUGAUGAGAAUGUAAGUGAGUGUUAAUGGUUUGACAAAGCUGGAAAUGGAAAUGAGAAGGGAACUGUUGCAGCUAAGCAAGAAAAUGUACGUAAGAUAUUCAAGAGGAAAGAAUGAUUAAAAGAAAGAAAGUUGACGCUUUCUUUUGAUCGAUGGAAUUAGUACAUGAUUGGAAUAAGAUGUAGCAUGAUAAUAUUUUAUUAUUUGGAUCAUUUAAAAUUUUAUAGAGCAAAGAAGAAUAGAGAAGUAUGGAUUCUAUUUCAUUUCAUCAGUUACCAUGGUAUUUCUUCCCUUCCAAUUUAGGUGGAAUGAACAUUAUUCCUGUAUAAAAUUGAACAUUAUUCCUGUAUAAAAUUUUCAAACAAUGAAAUAGGACAUAGGACAUUGGUUCCGUUCCGCUCUGUCCCACUCCAUUCGGCUCGGUUAAUUUUAUGAUAUCCAAAGAGCCUAAAAAUAUGGAGAAGGUGAGAAGAAAGUAAAAUGAUUUUUAUCGGCAAUGUUAUUUUUACACUAAUUUUGUACAUCAAUACUUACACGGUAUUUAUACGGUGAACAAUAUUUUUUCAAUAAAAAUAUAUAUUUUAUUAUUAGUACCAUGAAUAAUAUCUUGUCAAUAGUAUUUGUAAACAGUAAUUUUAAAUUGGGAAACAAAGUUGGUUAAUAAAAUAUAAAAAAUUAGUUAAUAAAGUGAUAAAAUUGGUUAAUAAACACACAAUUAUUUAAAAUAAUUUUUAGUGUAAAAUAAAAUUGGUUAAUAAAAUGUAAAAUAUUGGUUAAUGGAGUGAUGAAAGUGGUUAAUAAACAUUCAGAUAUUAAAAAUAUUUUUUUAUAAUAAAAUAAAGUUGGUUAAUAAAAUAUAAAAUAUUGAUUAAUAAAAAUAUAUAAUUGAUUAAUUAUAUUAAUUUUAAAAAUAAUAAAUAAUUUUUAUGUUUUUAUAAAAAUAAUAUUUAUUACUAUAAUAUUUCAAAUAUAUUUAUUACUAUAAUAUAUCAUUAAAAUAUAAAACUAUGUAAAUUAAAAACAAAGGCAUGUGUAGGUGUACCAGGAGAGAGAAUUUAAUAAUAAAAAAUUAAAAAUAUAUUAUUUAUGGUGUAGGUGUAGGAGCAGUGGCGGAGCAAGAUAAAAAAUUUUGGGAUGAUUGCUAACGUAAAAUAAAAAUUAUAAAUAAAAUAUAAAUAGUAUUUUAAAUAAAACAUUAAAGUUAAAAUAAAUACAAAGUUAAUUACUAAAAAUUUAAAUUACAUGACUUAAAACUACCUUAAAGUAAUGCUUUAUGCGUUCCGAGUGACUUGAAAUCGUCAAUAAUUGACUCUGAACUAAUGCUUGCACUAAUCUUCCUUUCAAUAUAUACUGUCAUGCUAUCUCCAAGAAACCCAUCAUCCAUCUUGUUUCUCAACUUAGUCUUAAUAAUUUUCAUUACUGAAAAAGAUCUCUCAAUUGUGGUCGUAGAAACGGGAAGAGUCAUGAUAAGACGAAGUAGUCUAUCAAUCAAGAAGUAAGUUUCAGCCUGUCCAGAUGCAACCAAACAUGAACAUAGUUCUUGAAUAGUUGAUAAAUUAUUCAAUUCAAGUUUGAUUGCUGACGAGCAACAGAUAGAAAUGUUAGAGUUGAAAUUGCAAAUUAAUUUUUCUCUUGAUCACUAAAGUCCAUAGGAUAACAUUCUUAACAAAUUUUCAGCUGGUAUGUUGAUCAAUGGCAGCCUCGUCACCAUUCUUUCUUUUGAAAGGCAUUGAGAUCUCAAAAAUAAAGAUUUCUAAGGCAUAUCGUUCCAUAUCCACUCUUUUUGGCUACGCUACUGAGCAAGACAACUUACGCUCAAUAACCUUCAAAACCUUGAAAGUUAUAUUGGGAUCCAUAGGAGCUUUUAGGACCAAAAUCUUCUUGUAUCCAUAACGCCUAACACAUUGUUCUUCAUAUGAAUCUUGUAACCUUCUCAAGCAAUUGGCAAAUACUUAAAGAUUAUAUUUGGAUUUCGGAAAUUACAACACAACGUUUAUCAAGAAUGUCUAUCAUCCUUCUCCGAUCGAUACAUCACUGGUCCUUCCUCCGUUAAAGUGGUAUCAUCCGCCGAAUACACUUUAUUCUUUAUGACACAUAAUUAUGUAACAAACUAAUCUUUCCUCCCAUCAUAUGUGUUGAACACCCGGAGUCCAAUAUAUUGAUUGUUGCACUGCAUUGCUUCCUUCAAAAUCAUCAUUUUAUUUUAUUCAGUAUGUAACUUGUUAACAUAAUUGUGCAAUCAAUUACACUCAGUUCUACAAUUGCUAUCCUGUAACCUAUUAUUGUUGCAUUCUUCUGUCUAGAUCAUGACCAAGAGUGUGUUCUCAUUAUCAAACUAUUGUCUAACACUCUAGCUUCAUCUUUUGAGGUUCUUUCUUGUUGGCAUUACACUCUCUUACAAAAAAUGACAAAGCUUUUGACAAUUAUAGCACUACACGGUUGAUCUUGUAAACCAUUCUUCUCCACCCCUACCCUUAUAUUUCUACCUCUAGAGUUGUUUGAUCCAACAAUCCUAUUGCCACUGUUUUACACCCUUUUAAAUGUUGAAUUCUGGAACUUUGGGACUCUCUCCACCAAAAUUCUGAAAGUUCCAUAUAUUUUUGCUCAUGGGCGACUUUCCUUCUGCCUUCUUGUCUUCACAUUGAAACGUACUUGCAAAGCGAUCUCAUAUUUUCCUUAUCAACAUUUAUUUCCUUCAUUCUUUACUCAUUAACUCAGAGAGUUUGGCAGCCUUCUUUGCUCAUCAUCGUGAGAUCUUGGUUUCUCAAAUCGCAAUGACUAUGUAUCAAAUAUUACCGUCAAAGAAAGCAUAUUUUUUGUGACAACAUAUUACUCUGUAAUCGUUCUCCACAUGCUUUUACUUGGUAACCAACCGAGUAAUUAUCGUCUGAAAUCGUUGGUGGUCUCCUUCUCCUCCAUUUGAAUCACCCAAGCUAACGUUUGUAAGUUUGUACCUCCACAACCUCCGUCUGUCAGCCCCUGCGUAUGCCUUCCAAGAUUACUCACGCUUGCGCGAUAUUCGGCAAUCACCAACUUUCUUGAAAUUAUUUGUAUCAACGCAUUAAUGGAUUAAAAGCAGCGUCUUGAAAUCUUUCUUCUUUUCUUCCUAUGUGAUGCUAGGUGUGCAUCCGUUGUACUUUCAACAAGAGGAUUCACACUGUUCUUGAUCACAUCAAGAACGUCUUGGUAGCCAAACACAUUCAUGUUGCUUGCACCAUUUGUCGUAGUUCUUCGCAUAAAUGGUAGGUAUAUUGCAAGAAUUCUUUCAUUGGAGACAGAGUGAUGAUACAUCCAAGGAUUGAUUCUUCUUAUUCAUUACCAGAAAACAUUGAUAUAUAUUAAUAUAUAUAUAUAUAUAGUAUAUUAUAUAUAUAUUAUAUUAUAAUAUAUAUAUACAUAUAUAUAUAUAUCGUAUAGAUUAUAAUAUAAUUAUAUCUUAUAUAUAUAUAUAUAUAUAUAUAUAUAUAUAAUAUAAUAUGAUGAGAAAUUUUUAAUAAAAAAAAAAUCUAUUGCAAAUUGAAUUUUAGUUUUUUUGGGCUUAGACACUGAAAAUAAUAUUACUUCAACAAAGCACGACAAAACAGAUAGAACUAAGGAGAUUAGAGACAUACAUGCUAACAAUAUGGCAAUAUAGUGCAUGGCAAAAAGAGCAAUUGCAAGUGACAGCAUUUCAAAUCCUUCCUUGCAAGAAGAUGUUCCAUUACUCUGUUCACUACAAGGAUCUAUGCUGAAGUCGGCAAUCCUUCUUCCGCGAGUGUCAUAUGCUAUGUCUUUCAAUAACUUGUACGUGUGAAAUUAAUUCAAAAAGCAACAUACAUCAUCAUAAGUUUCAAUCAUAUUAUGUUGUUUUAUUGGUGGUGAUAACCCUAAGAAGAUGGAGACAUAUAUUAAGGUAACGUACCUCUCUUCUAACAGACAGCUCCACUAGCAAAUGAAGAGAUACAGAAAGACUGAAGCAAAAGGGGAAUAAUAGAAGGAAAGACAUGUUCAUGAUAAAGAAAAUGAAUCACCGUUAUAAGAAGGAAGUGCAAUAGAAAAUACUGAAUUUCUGUAAUGUUUGUGUGACAAAGAUUGAAGAGAAAGGAAAAUCACUUUAUGGCCUUAUGCGAAGUCAAUUAGAUCUUAAAACAUGUGCCACCAGCUAAAUUGUAUAUUUGAAGUAGAAAUGUGAAAUAGGCAAAGUUUAAGGUUCUUGAAGGAGAUAAAUUUGAAGUUAAAUAUUUGAAUUAUGAUGAAGUAUAAAGAGGAAACGCCGUUGUAAUCUUGAAAAGUAUGUGUGAAGUAUGCUUUCCUGUAAUUUUGCUUAACUUUCCUUAAUACAAGUUGCAAAUUCAGUCUAAUGGUUGACUUGCAGUGUUUUGCUUAAUGGCAAAGUAAUAAUAGUAUUAACUUAAAGUUGUAAAUGAUCAAACAAGUAUAAAAAGUUAAAACGGGAAAGUCAAAGGUCAUAGAAUGAAUGGGAAAGAAAUUAGAAUAUAAUAUACGUAUAUUUAAAGUACUUUUCUCUAGUCAAUUUAUAAAAAAUUAUUCUUUUAGAUUAAUGAAUGAAUCAAUGUGUCAUAGUUUCAUAUAUAUAUAUAUAUAAUAAUAUAUAUAUAUAUAUAUAUAUAUAUAUAUAUAUAUAUUAUAUAUAUAAUUAUAUAUAUAAAAUAUAUUUAUAUAUAUAUAUAUUAUAUCAAUACAUUGAUUAUCAAUAACUUUAAAAUAAUUUUCUCUUAAUAAAUAGGAAUCAGAGAAAUUAUAUAACGUGUUGAAGCCAAUCGGUAACGAAAAAUGCAAACCCAUCGUAUAAAUUCUAAACAAAUUAUAACUAAGAUACUAGUAUAAUCUAAACAAAUCUAACUGGAUUAAAUGAUCUACUGUUUCCUGUAUCACACCUUGCGUAAUGCGGAAGUUAAUUUAGAGAAAGAUAAAGAAAGUAUUGAAAUGGAAGGAAAGAAUAGAGAGUGAUGAAUGAGAAGAGAUGAUUGUUUUAUUACUGAAGGGAUGUUCAUUAUUCCAUAAGUAGUUAAAUUUUAUACACAGGUAGUAACUAACUAACUAAUUAAGUUUGAAUUAAUACAUAACAUGUUCCUUAUUAAAACUUCACCAAGCUGAUACAUACAGAAGCUAAUAUUCAGACUCUGCGUUUUAUCAACAGCCACUCUUCAAGAAGCUGCUUCAACCUCCAGCGGUUCCAGAAGUAGUUCUCACCUCUGACUCCUUCUGAAACUGAUGGUAGAACUAACAAACUUUAGAGGUCAGACAGCUUCAUCCUUUGACUCCUUUAAAGAUGACGCUUCCAGAGGCUAGGUUGUUUCAUCUUGACACUUCAAUAGGCUGAUGAUUUAGAAGCCACCAAGGCUCAGAGGCUAGUGAUCUCUAAGUCCAUUACAAUCUCUAACCCAUGCCACAAUUCCAUGUCUAUCUUCACUAAAAAAAUUGUUCUUCUUUGCAACUUUAGUCCAGAUCAUCAACAAUCUGAUCCUUGUAGAACAAUAUCUCAUUGUCAACCUUCCUUUGUUCAACUUGCCCUUAUUCAUAAAACCUUUGUUUUAAUAUGGCCUAGAUUCUCCCAUGAGAGACAUGGUUCAUUGCUAAGUUAUUGCAAAUUUUAAGUCAAUAAAGGAGCGAUUUAUACUUGAACGUCAUACGCAAGUCCAGGAUACAACUUCAAUCCAAGCAAGCUGACAACAAAUGAACAACUAGCAAUAAUAUUCGGUCUCAACAGCUAGAUAGAUCCCAUGACAGUUGCUCUUAGAGAUCCAAGAGAUUGGAGCUCCUUGAAACUUGAAGUCAUAACAGUGAAAACCUGCUAAUCUUCACGACACCAUCUGAAUCAGAAAAUCCUAUCCUUCUUAUUUGAUUCUUUUUCUCCAUAUGAGAAGAAUACAAAUGCCUCAAGAUUCCUUGAUGUAUCUUGGUACUCUUUUUCCAACCAUGAGAUAGACUUCCUUGGAUAAUGCAUGAAUUUGCUCAAUACUCCCUAUCAACAAAGUUGAUAAUUUGAUCGACUAUUGCAUCAGGUAACCUCAUGUUCAAAUCAUCUGCUUGUCCAGGGUGGAUCGACCCUUUUUUCAUCAUUAUCUUCUUCUAGCUCUGACGCUGAUUCAGGCAGGAGUCACAUAACAAUGCAGUUCAACCAGUUGGAAUCUUUUCACCAAGUCAAUAGCAUCUUAGUUGAUUCAAGAUUUAAUCCACCUCUUAGAAACUCCAUACCAAGGAAGUGGGAUAGUUACCCUAUUGACAUUUCAAAUUCUGACUUCAUUGUAUCUGAGGUUUCAAUUUUCCAUUGAGAUUCUCUAGUUAUCAGAGGUCACUCCACAUAUAAACAUACCCAAGCAAUAGUAUUUCACANUUUGCAACUUCAUCAUUGUAGGAUGCUAAAAGUUUCAAUAACUCAAGAAAGUUACCUUGAUUUCUUGAUUUGCUACUUUCGUCGUGACCCCUAAAAGCACAAGCUUGUAGUGUUAACCAACGAACAAUGUCAAUUGAAGUCUUGAGUCGUAAACGAUUAUUCAUUCUUUGACUUGAACUUUGCACUUAAAUAACAUUUCUAAUAUGACAAUCUUGAUUCAACAAGUCUUGACAAGCUUUCAUUGCAUUGUUGUGUGGUGAGCAAGGAUCUUUCCCUAUGUGUUUUAGAAAGGAACAAUGUUUUCCAUUCCUAACUUUCUUCCAAUUUCUAAAACCCAUAGAAAUAAAGACAAGUGAUCCGGGACGUCCACUUAGUUUUUUGCUAAAAAGGUAACAUGGUAAGAAAUAUACGACAUCUUCAGAUGGUGAAUAUUCUAACCGUGAUGGAAAUAUGUUAAACCAAGUAUGUUGAAACCUUCUCGGAUGAUCCUCGUUACCGGACAAAGGAUAGUUUUCUAAAUGAAUUUGAUAUGAACCCCAUUUUAGAUAAGCUCUUCGUAUUGCAUCCACUUGAUUUGGUGGAUAUUGCCAAAUCGGAGGACGCUUUCCAGGAUCGCGUUCCAAAGAAUUUUCAAAACCAUGAUGCUCUUCAAUUGUUGGAUUCUCAAGAACUGUUUCAGAUUCGGAUGUCGGGAUUAUAAUUUCUUCAUCUCUCUCUUCUCUUUCAAUUUCACAUGCUUUUCUUUUGAAAAAAGAAUCAAUUUUCCUAUUAUUCAUCUUUACUCUUCCUAUAAUAUCAUAUCAGAUCCAAAAAUCAAUUUAGAGAACAUAAAAAUUAAAAGAGAAAAAAAUUAAUAAACUUAAUUAAUCAACUUUAAUCCGUUUUCAAAUACCGGUAACUUCACUAUUAGAAAUUAGCAGCAACAAUGAUUAAAUAAACCUUAUUACAGUGUAUAACUAUAUUUGUAAAUUACAGUGUUAUGAAUUGGCUUAAUAAACCUCAUAUAGAUUAUUUUAACACAUCAAGAAAGAAGAACCCUAAAAAUCUCAAAAACACAAAUCAAGCAAUCACUUUAAUUUGUUACUUUUUAUAAAAGAAGAAUGAAUAAAGUUUUUUACCUGUUAGAUGCCGAUCACUUUAAUCUGUUCCGAUUCCGGUGCCGGUAGCAAACCCAUAUGAGAAAGAAAGGAAAGGUAGGAGCUUUUUACCUUAUCUGUAUUUUAACCUAACUUUGAAUGAAAAAUAAAAAAUAAAAAAUAAUUUUAAUUUAAAAUAAGGAUGUUUUAGUAAUUUAAUAUAUAUGAAUUAAAAAUAAAUAAAAAGUUGAGGGGUGGCCGUGGCCUUCCCACGCCCCCCUCAGUUCCGCCACUGUGUAGGAGGGAGUGUAAAACUAUCAUUUCUGAUUUUUUUUAAUUACUUGUUUUCAUGUACCCUUUAAUAGUGUCAUUGUAUUGAGUUUGAAUGGCGUGAAUUUAUUACCACACUUUUUAGAUAUAAGAAUUGUGAUAUGUUGGUAAGUGGAGACAAAUUUUCACCAAGUCGAUUGUGUAGGUUUAGUUAGGCCAACACAUUUUUCAGUUUCAUUUAACAUGUAAUUCAUCAUCUUCUUCCUCUUAAUAAAAAAAAAAUCCUAAAAAAAACCAAAACUUGGAAAAUUUCUUAAAUCACAAGCAAACACCCUAAGUUAAAUGAAUUCCAAAUGUAGUUAUUUUUCAAAGGUAAUAAAUUAAUGCUCUCGAGACAAUCACUCAAGUGUGUUGGGUUUGGACUUUUUUCCUAUGUGGAGAAAGAUUCAAAUAUGAUUAGUUCAUUUGUCUCACUUAUUUCAGUUGAGAGAAUCAAUUUAUGGUUGAGAGAGAUAGAGAGAAAAUAAGGAUUCAAAUGAGAUAAAAGAGGAGAAAAAUUCAUUUUCGUUUUUCUACAACCAAUCUCACUAAAUCGACGAUUCCAAAGUCGUUAACCAUCGAAUCGAGCUCAAAUUUGGAGGGCAGGUUCGUAACAUAUGUAUCUAACUUUUGACCAAGUCUGAGGUGAGAGUAAUCUGCUUCGCAAUGAAGCUGUAGAUUUGGGGGGAAAAUUCAUAUUUUUUAUUCUUAUUUGUAAGCUAGUUUGCUUUGUGAUUUUCGGUUGUUAGCACUAGUUUGUGAAUCACUUUAAGACUCUUGUACCCUUAAUUGAUUAUAGUGGAGUUAUUUCUUUGGUAUGGAUGACUCGUGGUUUUUACUCUCAUACUGAGGUAUUUUUCACAUUAAAAAUAAUGAUGUUCAUUUGUGUCUUUAUUUGUUCGAUUUAUCGUCUUAUAUUUGUUGUUGAUCCUCAAGGUUCCUACAAGUCUGAUGAAUUUUAUAUUCGUUGUGUUUUAAUUUCGCAUUAGAGUGGCAUCAGAGUUUGGUUAAGGGCUAUUUUGCUUAUUUGAAUGAUGAAGUCAAAUACAAAGAUGAAGAUGGUACUGUUGAAUAGUUCUAAUUACCAUUUAUGGAAGGGCAAGAUGAAAAACUUACUAUUUGUAAAGAAUUGCAUUUACCGAUUUAUAGUUCCGCAAAGUCAGAUUCAUCAUCUAAUGAAGAGUGGGAGUUUGAACAUCAACAAGUAUGUGGUUUUAUUCGACAAUAUGUAGAAAGAUAAUGUUUAUAAUCAAUGAGACACAUGUAAAAACUUUGUGGGAGAAGAUAAAGUCCUUGUAUGCCUCUAAAUCAGGGAAUAAUGAAUUGUUCUUGUUGAAUAGCUUCAUAAGUUUGAAGUAUAAGAACGGGACUUCUAUUUCUGAUCACUUGAGUAAAUUUCAAGGGCUCAUUUAUCAUAUGUCAAGAAUGAGUAUCAAAUUUGAUGAUGAACUUUUGGUACUAUUUAUGUUGUUAUCUUUACCAGAGUCUUGGGAGACGUUUUGGGUUUAUAUCAUAAAUUCUGCUCCUAGGGGUGUUAUUUCUUUGGAAACAGAUAAGGGUGGUAUUCUUAAUGAGGAGAUGAAAAGGAAGACACGUAGUUCUUCAUCUCAGCCUGAGGUCCUUGUUACUGGAAAUAAGGAGAGAAGUCAUAAAAAGGAAUCGAAAGGUUGUAGAGAGAAUAGCAUAAGCAAGUUCAAGUCGCGAUAUAAGAAUCUGGAAUGUCAUUAUAAUCACAAAAUAGGACAUAUACAUAAAUAUUACUAUUAGUGGAAAAGAGAUAACAAAGGCAAUAAAGGUAAGUCUAAACAAAGAGACCAUGAAGAUCAUGAUGAUGAUCGUGUUACUACUGCUACUAGUGAUGAUCUUGUUAUUCUAUGUGAUCAUGAGUUUGUUAAUCGUAUAUCAGACGAGAGCAUGUGGAUAGUUGACAGUGGUGUUUCUUUGCAUGUUAUAUCAAGGAAGGAUUUCUUCAUAUCUUAUACUUCUGGUGAUUUUGGAGUGUUAAAUAUAGGUAAUGAUGGUGUAUCUAUGGUAAUUGGUGUUGGUGAUGUUUGCUUACAAACCAACAUGUGAAUGCAAUUGUUGCUUAGAGGUGUUAAACAUGCUCCAGAUGUCUGCUUUAAUUUGAUUUAUGUACAUAUGCUAGAUGAUUGUGGUUUUGAUAAUCACUUUAGUUCUGAAAAAUGGAAACUCGACAAAAGUAACUUGGUUGUGGAUAUAGGGGAAAAGCUCCCUAAAAUAUAUUGGACAAAAGCUUUGGUUAUUAGGGACAGUGUGAAUGCUAUCGACAUGGAAGCAUUUUUGUGACACCAAAGAAUUGGUCAUAUUAGUGAAAAGGGGCUUGAUGUUUUGGCCAAAAAGGAUGUUCUUCCUGGAUUAAAGAAUUUAGAUUUUGGAGAAGUAUUCUCAUUGCAUGGUUGGUAAACAGACUAGAUUAUCUUUCAAGAGACAUCUUCCCUCAAGGAAGUCAAAGUUGCUCUAAGUGGUACAUUUUGAUGUUUGUGGUCUAUUAAAGAUAAAAUCCUUUAGUAGUGCACUUUAUUUUGUUAUCUUUACUUACGAUUGCUCCAUGAAACUAUGAGUUUAUGCAUUGAAGACAAAAGACCAAGUGUUAGAAAAGUUCAAAGAUUUCCAUGCUUUGGUUGAGAGGCAGACAGGCGAGAAGCUGAAAUGUGUUCGUUCAGACAAUGGUGGAGAGUAUUGUUGAUAAUUUGAUUCCUUUUGCAAGAAGCAUGGUAUUGCACAUGAAAAGACUCCUCCUAAAACUCCUCAAUUGAAUGGUUUAGUAGAGAGGAUGAAUCAAACAAUAAUUGAGAGAGUAAGGUGUAUACUCUUUAAAGCUAAGUUGCCUAAUCAUUAUUGAGGAGAGGCACUUUACACGACAAUGCAUGUUCUUAAUCUCACUCCUACUGUUACUUUGAACAGUGAAGUUCCAGAUAAAUUUCGGUUUGGAAAGAAUGUCAAGUAUGACCAUUUGAGAGUAUUUGGUUAUAAGGCUUUUGUGCAUAUUCCAAAGGAUGAAGAUCCAAGUUUGAUGCAAAAGUCAAAACAAUGUAUCUUCGUCGGCUAUGAGCAAGAUGAGUUUGGUUACAUGUUAUAUGAUCUUAUAGGGAAGAAGCUUAUUCUAAGCCGUGAUGUGGUUUUUAUGGAAGAUCAAACUAUUGAAUACAUUGAUAAGGUAGAGAAGGAUAUAUCCAAGAAAGAUAUUAGUUUGUCUAAUAUUGAUCUAGUUCGGUUACCUAGUCAUAAUAUGGAUGUUAUUGGUGGUGAUGAUCACAAUGGUGUGCCAUAUGAUUAUGUUAAUGAUCAACAACUUGGAGAUGAGGUAAAUAUUCCAUCUAAUGAUGGUAAAUAGGAGAGCGAUAUGUCAGAGGAUGAGAAUCUUGGUGAAGCUCUAGAAUCAUCUCAAGCUUAACUUAGGAGGUCUAACAGGCAGGGACAAUCUUCUACAAGGUAUAAUUCUGAUGAGUAUGUGACCUUGAUUGAUGAGGAUGAACCAGAGUGUUUUCGAGAGGCCGUGGAAAAUGAUGAAAAUCAAAAAUGGAUGGAUACAAUGCAUGAUGAGAUGAAAUCAUUGCAUUAUAAUCACAGUUAUGAUUUAGUGAAGCUUCCUAAAGGCAAAAUGACUUUUGAAAACAUAUGGAUUUAUAGAGUUAAACAUGAGAGCAACUUUAAGUCUUUGAUAUAUAAAGUCAAAUUAGUGGUGAAAGGUUUCCUUCAAAGAAGGGGUGUUGAUUUUAAUGAUAUUUUCUCACAUAUUGUAAAGAUGUCAUUAAUUAGAACUGUGAUGAGUUGACUGCUACUCUCGAUUUAGAGGUUGAGAAAAUGAAUAUGAAAACAACUUUCCUUCAUAGUGAUUUGGAGGAAGAGAUCUACAUGAAACAACCCAAUGAUUUUCAAGUUAAAGGUAAAGAAAAUAAUAUGUUUAGAUUGAAAAAUAGUUUAUAUGGGUUGAAGAAGUUUGAGUCUAUUAUGUGUAAUCGAGGAUACCAAAAGACUACUUUAGAUCAUUGCGUCUUUGUUACAAAGUUUUCUAACAGUGACUUCUUUAUCCUGUUGCUAUAUGUUGAUGAUAUGCUUAUUGUAGGAAAAAGCAUUUCUAACAUUGACAAGUUAAAGAAGCAAUUGAGUGAGUAAUUUGCCAUGAAAGACAUGGGAGCAGCUAAACAAAUUCUCGAUAUUAAAAUUAUGUGUGACAGAAAAGAGAACAAACUUUGGAUGUCAAAAGAACAUUAAAUCGAAAGAGUGUUAUAAAGAUUCAAAAUGGAAAGUUCUAAGGCGGUAAGCACUCCUCUCGCUACUCAUUUCAAGUUGAAUUCUAAUCAAAGUCCUUCAAGUGAAGAUGAAGCAUUUGAUAUGAAAUGUGUUCCUUAUGCGUCUGUUAUGGGUAGUUUUAAUGUAUGCAAUGGUAUGUACAUGACUAGAUAUAUCACGUUAUGUUGGUACAAUCAGUAGAUUUUUGUCAAAUCCAGAUAGAAAGCAUUAGAAUGUUGUAAAAUGGAUUUUAAGGUAUCUUCGCUGUACUACUUCAAUGAGACUUUAUUUUGGAGGAGAUAAGCAUACUCUAGUAGGGUACUAUGACUAUGAUGUGGCUGGAGACAUUGAUUCCAUAAAGUCCACUUCGGGCUACAUGAUUAAAUUUACAGGGGGUUGUGGCUUGGCAGUCCAGAUUGUAAAAGUGUAUAACAUUGUCUACUACAGAGGUUGAGUUCAUUGCAAUUAAUGAAGCAUGCAAAGACUUAUUGUUGAAGAAAUUUUUGCAGGAGCUUGGUUUUGUUCAAGACAAAUAUGUGUUAUUUAUUGAUAGUCAAAGCUAUUCAUCUUGGUAAGAAACUGACAUUUCAUAAUAGGUCCAAACACAUUGAUGUGAGAUAUCGUUGGAUACGUGAUAUUUUGGAUGAUAAGCUGUUGGAGUUAGCUAAAGUUUAUACAUAUGAUAAUGGUUCUGAUAUGAUGACUAAAGCAUUAUCAAGAGGGAAAUUUGAAGUUUGUUGUGAUAUGGGCAGUUUGGUGAUUUCCUCCACAUAGUUGUAAUGGGAGAUUUUUUAAGUUUGAGUUAUAUGGAGAAAGACCCAAAUAUGAUUAGCUCAUUUGUCUCAUUUAUUUAAAUGUAGAGGAUAAAUUUAGGUUUGAGAGAGAUAUAAAGAGAAAAUAAGGAUUCGAAAAAGAGAAAAGAAGAGACAAAUUAAUUUUCAUUAAAUCGAAGAUCCCCGAUUCAUUAACCGUCAGAUCGAGCUCAAAUUUGGAGGGCAUGUUUGUAACACAAGUAUUUAAAUUUUGACCGUUCAGAACUUCAAAAUAACGUCUGAGGAAUGUUUGCAUGUGUCGCACUGAAGUUGUAGAUUUGAGAAAAUUUUCAGUUUUUUCAUUCUUAUUUAUAAGCUGGUUUACUUUGUGAUUUGCGGUUGUUAGCACUAGUUUGUGAAACACUUUAAGACUCUUGUACCCUUAACUUAUUAUAAUGGAUUUAUUUCUUUGGUCUGGACGACUCGUAGUUUUUACUCUCAUAUUGAGGGGUUUUCCACGUUAUAAAUCAGUAUUAUUUUGUGCCUUUAUUUGUUCAAUUUUCCGUCUUAUAUUUGUUGUUGAUCCUUAAGCUUCCUACAAGUAUGAGGAAUUGUAUAUCUGUUGAGUAUUGGUGUGUUAUUGUCUCUUAAUUUCCCAUCAAAAUAUUCAUCUUAUAACAAAUUUGAAACUCAUUCGCUGGUGUUAUAAUGAAGUUGUAGUUCGCACUGUAAGAAAGAAUAAACCAAAUUAUGAGAGGAUAUUACUAGGUCCAAAGGUUCAUAUUUUUGUGCAAAAGACCGCAUUCAGAACCCGAUAUGGCUAUUAUGAGUUAAGAACUCAGAUGUAUCAAAGACCACAUUCAGAACCCGAUAUGGCCAUUAUGAGUUUCUUAUAAUGCCUUUUGGUGUGACGAAUGCCCCUGUUGUUUUCAUGGACUAUAUGAAUCAUAUAUUUCAACCUUACUUGGACCAGUUCAUGGUGAUGUUUAUUGAUGACAUUCGUAUUUAUUCUCGUACUCCACAAGAGCACGAAGAACAUCUAAGGAUUGUUCUGUCAGUACUGCAAGAGAAGCAACUUUUUCCAAGUUAAGUAAGUGUGAAUUUUGGAUGAACGAAGUGAGGUUUCUUGGUCAUGUCAUAUCACAAGGAGGAGUGUCAGUGGAUCCAUCUAAAGUUGAAGCAGUUAUUAAUUGGGAAAGACCGAAGAAUGUUUCUGAAGUCAUAAGUUUCUUAGGUUUGACAGGUUACUAUCGAAGAUUUAUUAAAGGAUUUUCUAAGUUAGCUUUACCAAUGGCUAGACUUACCCGGAAAGAAAUUUCUUUUAGUUGGGAUUCGAAGUGUGAGCAGAGUUUCAUGAGUUUGAAAGAAAGACUAACAACUGCUUCUGUUUCUAUCAUCCCUGAUCCUAGUAAAUAUUAUGAAGUAUUUUGUGAUGCCUCUAAGAAAGGAUUAGGAUGGGUGUUAAUGCAUGGUGGUCAAGUUGUAGCAUAUGCCUCUCGUCAGUUGAAGACUCAUGAAGAGAAUUAUCCAACUCAUGAUCUUGAAUUAGCCGCUGUUGUUUUUACAUUGAAGGUGUGGCGACAUUACUUGUAUGGAGUAUGUUUUGAGAUGUUUAGUGACCAUAAGAGUUUGGAAUACUUGUUUGACCAGAAAGAGUUUAACAUGAGACAGAGGAGAUGGAUGGAGUAUUUGAAAUAUUUUUAUUUUGAGCUUAAGUAUCACCCAGGGAAAGAGAAUAAGGUUGCAAAUGCCUUAAGUUGGAAAGAGAUGCAUAAAGCUGAGUUGAUGAUGUUAGAAUAUGCAUUGUUCGAAAGGUUCAGAGAUCUUAACCUUCAGUUUAAUUGGACACAAAAUGGUGUGAUAAUGAGAAAUUUGAAUGUUACUUCUAACCUAAAGGAAGAAAUCCAGCAAGGACAAAUGAUAGAUAAGAAGUUGCAAGAGAUGUCAACUCAACCAGGUUUCACUCAAUGACCAGAUGGAGUUGUUCUUUUUAAUCAAAGGAUUUGUGUCCCGAAUGAUGCCGAACUAAAAAGAAAUGUCUUAGAGGAAGCCCACAAGGGCGUAUUUAUCAUAUAUCCAAGUUCAUCGAAGAUGUAUCAAGAUUUAAAUAAGGACUACUGGUGGCCUGGAAUGAAAAAGGAUAUUUCAGAGUAUGUGUCGGAAUGUAUAGUGUGCCAGCAAGUAAAGAUUGAACAUCAGAAGUCAGGUGGUUUAUUGCAACCUUUAGAGAUUCUAGUUUGGAAAUGGGAUGGUAUUUCAAUGGAUUUUGCAGUAGGGUUACCUCGGACACAAGGUGGUUAUGAAUCAAUAUGGGUGAUUGUGGAUUGGUUAACUAAGUCUGUGCACUUCUUGGUCGUGAAAACUACUUAUAAGGCAAGUCAUCUUGCAUGGUUGUUCAUUUCAGAAAUUGUGAGACUGCAUGGUGUCCCAACUAGUAUUGUGUCUGAUAGAGAUCCAAAGUUUACUUCAAGAUUUUGGAGAGAAUUUCAACAAGCUAUGGGAUCGAAGUUGUGUUUGAGUACAUCUAAUCAUCCUCAGAUGGAUGGUCAGACUAAGAGGAUGAUAUAGACACUAAAGGAUAUGUGAAGAACUUGUGUACCUGAAAGUGGAGGAAAUUGGAAGGAGCUCUUACCAUUGAUUGAAUUUCCAUACAACAAUAGUUACCAUGCAAGUAUUGGGAUGGCUCCUUAUGAAGCCUUGUAUGGAUGGAAAUGUAGGACACUUUGUGUUGGACGGAAGUUGGUGAAGAAAGAAUUUUAGGACGGGAGAUUAUUCAAGAGACUACGGAGAAGAUAAGGAUGGUUCAUGAUAAGAUAAAGAAAGUGCAAGACCUCCAAAAGAGUUACGCAUAUAAUAGAAGAAUACCAUUAGAAUUUAAUGAAUGUGAUCAUGUAUUUCUAAAGGUGACUCCGAGAUUGAGACUGAAAGGACCGUUUAAGUCACGGAAGUUAAGUCUGAGAUACGUAGGACCAUAACAGAUUAUAGAGAGGAUUGGUGAAGUAGCUUACAAAUUAGCCUUACUACCUUCUUUAUCAUAAACGCAUGAUGUUUUUCACGUAUCUCAACUUCGAAAAGUUCAUUCCAGAUUCUCUUAAGCCUAUUCUUCCAAAUUCAGUAGAAGUAAAAGCAGACCUAACUUUCGAACCUCUACCAAGUCGUAUUGUAGGACGGGUAACUAAGGUAUUGAGAAAUAAGGAGAUCCAUCUUGUUAAGGUUCAGUGGCAUAGAUCACAUCCGAACGAUGCUACUUGGGAACUGGAGUCUGAAAUGCGAGAAGUUUACCCUCAUCUCUUUCAGGUAAUAUUUAAAUUCGGGGACAAAUUUUAUUUUAAGGGGGGAUGAUGUAAUAUCCCGUAUUUCCUGAAAUACUCAAAUUCAUAUUAAUUGAGAUCAACUGAGUUCCUAUGUGCUCUAAAAGUUACUAGUUGGGAUAAAUAGAGUGAAUAGUGAAUUCAAAUUGACUUAAUUAAUAUUAUUUGGGACUGACCUUUUAUUAAUUAAGACAUUUUUGUAACACUAAUAAUGAGUCAAUUGAUCUAGCAUAACAUAUAUUAAAAGUGUAGUAUCACUUGGGAUAUUUGUUACUACUAAUAACCUUUUCUAACCACAUAAUCCUAGUGUCAAAUGGCGGUCACAUGUUUCUAUCCAAUUCCUACCAACCUUGUGUACCACUUCAUUUCCUCUAGUUAUCAGUAGAAACAUUAGCAGAGAAUGAGAUUGGGAGAAAAGAAGGAAACUUGGAAAGAGGAAGGAACUUGGAGGAACAAGAAGAAAGCAAGCUAGUGGAAAGAAGAAGGAGAAAACAAACUUGGAUUUCAUCAUCACUUUAUCACCAUCUCAUCUCACCAUCUUCUUCAACCUCCUCUUCGAUUUCCUAAGGUGGGUUCUAGUUAGAAACCCUAAAAUUUCUAGAGUUUAAAGUUGUAGAAUCAUAUGUUAAGUAGAAGAAUUCAUGCUAACAUGAUGAAUGUAUUUUUUUACUAUGAUGAUUUCCAUGAACAAGUGUUUUGUUAUAUUUUUCAUGAUUUUGUGACUCAAUGUUUGGAUAUGGUUGAUAUAUAUAUAUAUAUAUAUAUAUAUAAUAUAUAUGUGUGUGUGUGUGUGUUGUGUGUGUGUGUGUUGUGUGUGUGUUUGUGUGUUGUGUGUGUUGUGUGUUUGUGUGGUUGUAGUGUGUGUGUGGAUACCUAUUAUGCAAGUUGAAAAAAUUGUGUUGUUGUGCAGAAGAAAGUUUUGGUCAUAUCCAGGGACCAAUCGAUUGGUCCUGGAACCUUUUCCAGACCAAUCAAUUGAGUCGAGCUUCUGAGUUAUGAAGAAGUGAAAAAUGUUUGGGACCAAUCGAUUGACCCUUAGUGACAAUCGAUUGUAUUGUCUUUCUGUAUUGAAGAAAAAUGAAAUUUUGCAGGAACCAAUCGAUUGACAUUGGACUCCAAUCGAUUGCAUGGACUUAAUGACUUUGAAAUUGGAAAUUUGUUCAGCUGUCAAUCAAUUGACACUCAACAUCAAUCGAUUGAUCCUUUGCAUUCUUUGAAAAAUAGAAAUGUGAGAUAGACCAAUCGAUUGGGCCUCCCUAACCAAUCGAUUGGCUCAUGCUUAAAACUCCAAAUUUCAUUUCUCUGAUGUUCCUAAAUGUAUUGCAUCAACUAUUAAUCACUUGUCGUGUUAUACUUGUAUUGAAUCAAUGUUAAAUGUGAGAAUUACAUGUUGAAUCAAGUGAGUUAACCUAGUGAUCAUUUUAGGCUAUAAGUUAGACUUAUAACUUAGAUAACAUUAGAAAGCGACAUUUAUUCGUACGAUACCUAUGUGAAGGUCAUGAACGAAUGAGUGUUAUAGUCGAGAGUGAGACGCUUUGUAUGAAACAUGUUUGUGGUUAUAUGAUAUUGGUGAAUGAAGUCACUCGUGAUUGAUGAAUCUAGUUAUGUUUUAUGAAAUUAAUCACGUAUUCAAAAUGUUUUACCCUUGAUGGUGUACAUCCCUAUUUGAGAUGCUUAGAUUAGUAAGUAAUGGGAUGUGACUUCAAUGAUUCGUGCCUUAAUUGUGUUUGAGCCCCAACCAUGACGGACAUGGGGAUAUGUGGACACCAGAGUGGGUUAGAGGCCCAUUCAGUGAAAGAUACCCUAAGUGGGCUAGAGUCUCAUACGGGUGACGAUCACUUGGAUUAAGCUGGAGACUCAUAGAGGACCCGAUAUCCACCGUAAAAGUUGAAUCAUACGAGCAUGCAUGAACUGAGCUUGCCCUAGACGUAAGUCUGCUUAGGGAUUGAUGUCUCGCGAAUCUGAAUAGUGAUUUAUUUGAGUUGUGAGAACUCAAGAGCAUGUUGACAUAUAUUGCGAUACUUUUUCCCUUCACUUGUCUUCAUUCCCUUGUUGACUUAAGUUGGAUAUUGAUUAGAAAAUCUGUAGAGCCGAGUGAACCCAUAAGAUAGGGAACCCACUGGGAUUAUUAUCUCAUCCCAUGUUGUUGAUCAUUUUUUAGGUAGUUCCGAUCAGACGAAGGGUAAGGUCAAGAUAGCGUGAUGUCCUUGCUUAUCUGAUGUUUUGGAUGACUUUUCCGCCGUGUAGAUAUUUUUGAGAUCAUUCUGCAAUGAUCUAGUUCCUAGCUUUAUUUUGGACACCUUUGUGUAUAUUUUUAGUGGCAUGUAGUAUUUUCUUUUGGGCAUGUAAUAUGUACGCUAUUGUCAUUAGACGCUUAUGUAUUUUAGUACCAAUAUUACAUGUAUAAUAUGUAUUCUAGACAUAUAUUAUAUGUGGAUUUACAUUGUAAAUACACUACCAAAAAUUUGAUUUGUACGGAAAUGUGUUUCAAAUUUUUGUCAAGAACAAUGAUGAAAUUAUAAAACUAUGGGGGAUGUCAAGUGCAAGUAUGAGGUGACAAGUUAAAAUCUCAACUUAAAACUACAACAACUCCAAUUCAGUAAAAGAGUAUUCCUUGGUUAACUACUACUGAAAUAAAACAUACUAUUUUAUACGAUUAUGGAUGUGCAAAAGUGUGAUUAAUCAAACUAACUAAAUUGAAUUGCAUCAUAAAAAAGUCAAACCACUUAAAUGGUCCAUGAAUUGAAUCAUUUAAUUUAAAUAAUUAUAAUUAAGUUUAAAACAGAUUCAAAAUCAAUUUUCUUUUAUAAAUUGGUUUAAUUAUAUAAAUUAGUUUUUCAUAAAAAGAAGGGAAAUGAUUGGGAGUGAUAUAUAUAUAUAUAUAUAUAUAUAUAUAUUAAGAAAAAUAUAUAUAUUUUUGAAAAAAAAAAUCUAAAAAUAUAAAAUAUAAAAUUUCUAGAAAAUAAUAAAAAAAUAUAUUUCAAUUUUUUUUUUGAAAAAGAAUCAGUUUUUUCUAAAAUAAAAAAAUUAUUCAAAAAAUAAAAAAUAUAAUUUCAUUUGAAAAAUGAAUUAUUCCAAAAACUAAAGAAUAUGCUUUUUUUUAGAAAAAAAAUUAUUUUGAAAUUAAAAAAAAUUAAGAAACUAAAAAACUUGAUUUAAUUUUAAAAAAAAAUAUAUAAUUGAUUUAUAAUUGUGAACUGAUUAUAAAUUAGUUUUUAAACUGGUCUAAAAUAAUUUUAAAUUCAAUUGAAACUAUUUUACAUAUUAUCUGCAUAAUAAAAAUAUAAUUUGAUUCAGUCUAGUUCAUUAUAACGCAUAAAAUUCCCCCAGCCAAUAAGAGAAAAUUUUACCUCGUACCCCUACAUUUAGCCUCAUACCCCUACAUCUUUUUAAAAAUUCCAAUUCUACCCUUAACUGGUUUUAACCAAUUUACCAUUUCAUUUUUACCAUUCAGUUGAAAAUUUCAAAAAUUACACGUUUCACACCCUCGCACCGGAAGUCUUUUCCGGAACUCCUGGAAAAAGACUUCCGGUAUGUAUUUAUUCCAAACUGGAAGACUUCAAAAAUGACUUCCGGAACACACGAAGCAAUGAACCGGAAGUCCUCACGAAAGAGUUCCGAUUCAAUCAGAAAAAAGUCACAAAUCGGAACACUUCUUGAAAGAGUUCCGGUAAACAAAGUUACACAUACCAGAACUCUUUGAAGAAGUGUUCCGAUUUGUGUAAUAUGUGUUCCGGAACUCUUUCAAGAAGUGUUUCGGUUUGUUUUUUUUUUAAUUUUUUUUUAAUUUUUUUUAAUCUGUUUUUUAUUUGCAGGAAUGGAAAAUCUUCCCCAAAUAUGUGUAGAUACUACUGAUGCGUUUAUAACGACGGAAAGAUUUGGUACACGAGAAAAGGUUAUCAGAUGGAUUAAAGAGGUUGAAAUCGAUAAUAAAGUAACUGUUAUUAUCAGUCGUUCAAAUACUGAAACAGGGAAGAGAGGGAGAAGUAACAAAUUAAUAUUUGGUUGUGAUAAAGGUGAGAAACACAAGAGUACUGAUAGUGGUACCCAAAGUGCGUCCAAGAAAUGUGGAUGCCCAUUUAAAAUCAGGUCGACUCCGGCGAAAGAUGGAUCUGGUUGGAAGAUUGAUGUAAAAUGUGGGUUACAUAAGUGGUACCCAAAGUGCGUCCAAGAAAUGUGGAUGCCCAUUUAAAAUCAGGUCGACUCCGGCGAAAGAUGGAUCUGGUUGGAAGAUUGAUGUAAAAUGUGGGUUACAUAAUCAUGGUUUACCUGAUAAAUUAGAAGGUCAUUCGUUUAUUGGUAGGUUGACCACAAAUGAGAAGCAACAUGUCGCUGAUUUGACAAAGAGACACGUACCACCUAGACACAUAUUGCUUUCCUUGCAAGACCGAGAUCCUGAGAAUGUCACUCGGAUUACGCAAGUAGACAAGAAUAAAAGUGUGAUACAAAAAGAGAUAAGAGGUCCUAGGAGUGAGAUACAACAUCUGUUUAAGCUUAUUGAGGAUGUAAGCUAUGUCUAUUGGAGUAGAAAAAAGGAUGACUCGGAAGUUGUGAGAGAGAUAUUUUGGGCACAUCCUGAUUCAGUUAAGUUGUUGAAUAUUUUUCCUAUUGUGUUAGUUAUGGAUAGCACCUACAGGACAAACAAAUAUAGACAACCUUUGUUUGAAAUUGUUGACAUGACAUCGACCGAGUUGACUUUUGCUGUUGCAUUUGCGUAUAUGGAGUCUGAGCAGACAGAGAAUUUCUGUUGGGUAUUGGAGAAACUAAAAGAGUAGUUUGUGAAGAAAGACAUGUGUCCACAAGUGAUUUUGACAGAUAGAGAUCUUGCUUUUAUGAAAGCAAUUGAAAUUGUAUUUCCCAGGUUGAUUAAUUUGCUAUGUAGAUUUCACAUUAACAAAAAUGUUGGUGCCAAAUGCAAACAACAUGUGGUGAAUGACCUGCAAAAGACGAUAGACACAUUAUGAAUGGAAGUUGUUUGGGCUAGUGAUGAGGUUGAGUAUGGUCAACGAUUGCAUCAACUUGAGCAAGCAUGUGUUGAUUAUAGUGGAUUUAUUAAUUAUGUGAAAGACACAUGGUUGACUCCACAUAGGCAUAUAUUUGUUGGAGCAUGGAUUAAUCGAGUGCUACAUUUGGGUAACACAGCGACUAAUCGGUACGUCUUAUAAUUUUUUAUGUGUUAUUUUUAUAUGUGAUAUUAUUUCUAUAUAUUUUUUAUGUGUUAUUUUCAAUAUUUUUAGGGUUGAAUCUGCUCAUUGGAAGUUAAAGCAGAUGUUAGGAAACAAUAUAGGUGACAUGGUCAAAUGUUGGGAAACCAUGAAUAACAACUUGAGGUUACAACUGGGAAACAUUAGAGCUUCUUUUCAAAAGAGUUUUUACGAAGUUGAGCGCGCGCACAUAAGUCCCUUUUAUGGUUAUUUGCGUGGUUCCGUAUCUCGAGCUGCUUUGAGACGUAUUGCUGAAGAGUUAUUGAGAGUUGAUUAUGUUGGAACUAACAGGCAAAUAUGUGGUUGUACUCUUAGAACAUCUUAUGGGUUACCUUNUUACUCUGUAACUCAACAUAUCCCAAAAUUCUUUAAUAGCGAUACCUCGAUUUGGUUGCUAUCUCAUGCACACCGCUAACUGAGUUCUAUAACUUACAACAAUACGGCCAAUAAAUCCAUCCGAAACCUAACAUUAGACACUGCAAUAUUCGACACCAUGCACAUCAUCAACCAUACCCUAUUGCAUGUACCCGAUGUGUAAUCACCAAAUUCGAUUACAUCACAUCAAUGAGACUACUAAACCACAUUAACCUUACUCGCAAGUUGAGUUAGAUGGCUUCUCAUAUAUGCAUGCACCGGUUUCAUGAAUUCAAACUACAAUGACUAUUUAAACUUUUGGAUAUAUCAUAUGACGAUAUACCGUCAAUCAUUACCCAGGUACAUAUAAGCGCUCCCAUAAACUUCAGAACAAACGAUAACCACUACAUGCUACCAGACUCUCUAAUAUUCGUGUUGGUUAAUAUAAACCCUAGAUGUUCGGGUAUAUCCUUAUAACAGCUGCAGCUGUCUCCAAAGCAUAUCUAAUAUAGCUAACCGCUUUAUCCUCUCUGCGACUUAAUCAAAACAUUGCAACCAUCGCCAUAAUUAUACACCAAUCAAGAAAAAGCAAUCACUUUCAGUAAACCUCAAUAAUAAUAAUUAUCGGUGACGAACUUUCAUUAAUAAAUCCCUAGGAAUAGGAUUAAGAUCUACGUUCAGUUAAAAUUAGGAUUAAGUGUGACAGCAACUUCAAUAGAGAACUUCGACCAUAUCAUCUAAAUUCUUAUAGACAGAAAAAACGCUUCUUCAGCAUACUUAUGGCUUCAACCAAAGUAUCCACAAACGCUUGCCCUUAUUUGAUCAAGCGUUCAUAAUCAAUCCGUCAAACUGAUGAAGUGUAAACCCGCCAAACUUAAUCACCUACAAGAAUAUAACUAUUCUCACAGACUAUUAUGUUUAAAUAAACCUUAGGGCAACUAGUCAAAGGAAACCCUUAUUCAAAAUCAACCGAACAUCUCUCUCAGAGUCUGUUCCCAUACUUAAGUAAAACACAGCCAAGACUAAAUACGUAUCAUCAAAAAAGUCUUUAAACAUAGUAUCAACAUCAAACACUCAACUACUCAUUAGUAUGUAAAAUACAUACUUAUACUGGAAAUCGGCCAAAACACCACGUAAUAAUUAACAAAUACAUAUAGCAUAAGUUACGUGCAAAGUCUGUAACCCAUAAAAUUCACAUUAUUGUCUGCCAAUUUUACAGGUGAUAAAUUAAAGUGCUCUUUCGAUAAACUCCUAAAUAAUACCAACCUCUCUCAGACACCUGAAUGAGAACUUCCCACGGGCUCUUCUAUUUGCAUACAUACGGAAAUACGGUAGAGCAAAUGUGCAGUCUGACAUCAAUACACCUAACCCUAGAAAAGUCCACUGAAUUCUUCAACAUGCCGUAAUCGAUCGGGACUGGAAAAAGAGGCACCAUACAAUAAAUUCGACAAUAAAAACACUCCAGGAGCUAUGAUUAGUACACACCUAACAUCGACAACGCAAAACAAGGCAUGCUGAGUACUCAUAAUGUCAGACAUGAGGUCUCAACGCAGUGCUAGAAAUUGCCAAAAGCUGCAGUCUGCGUUACGAAUCUAGGAAUAUCGCCAGCUUUCACACGGAUCAUGAUGAAAUAGUCUAUACCUGGAUCCUCCAAAUCUAUAUAUUUUAAAUGCAGAAACCACAAGGGAUGCACUCCGCACACGCAACCACCCCCCCCAAAACUGUCUAUAUCCAUCCAAAUUCACAAAUCUUGCUUCCAAUAGAGACAUUGCAAAGGACAAGAUAUAAGGCCAUUCAUUGGAUCGUCAGUUAUGCAGUGCCUGAUCCACACAACAACCUAUAUUACCUUCUUUCUCUUAACCAAAACACUGGUGACCCCACCGGUGACACACUCGACGAAUAGUUCUAUCCAACAGAUCUUCCAACUGACUCUUCUAAAUAUUAUAAAUCUACAAAUUAUGAUCGCUACAGAAAGCGUAGUUUGUCAUCAACAUAGCAGCUAACCGACUCGCGACAAUCGUUUCCUCGUGACUUGGUAGUAGCCAAAGCGGUACAAAGACGUUCAAAGCGGAAUUGAAACCUCUAAACUAGCCCGACGCUCUCACUGUUUAUUUAUAAGAUGCGAUUUAAUAUAAUCCAAACGGAAGUGAGAGAAUCUUUGAUGAUAGAAUCCUUUGGUUCACAGCCACCUGAAAAAUGGUUGACUCUACCAGAUAUGGGUUACUUGAUAGCGAAUCGCUAUAAUGUUGUACUUGUCUAUUUAGGCAAUUUGUGCAUGACUUUCUUUCCGAUGACAAGCUCACAUUCACCAAAUGUCUCUAUUUAUUGCAUUGGUUUUGUUAACCACAAUCAUUGGGUUCAGGUACAUAUUUUGUAUGACAAGUUAUUUUAUAUGCCUUAAUAUUUUACUUAUUUCACUUAAUAUUUUAUAUGACUUAAUAUUUUAAUUAUUUCACUGUAUCAGGUUAACAUGAAAGAGGGGUUUCCGUUGCCACCAGUCACAUUAGAUUGGAGGAAAUUUCGUUCUCAUACAGCAACUACUUGGAUGUUAGGAUUUGCAGGACGUCUGCAACAUUGGCAAUUACUUACACCUGUAUUAGCAUGAAUAUGUACUCAAAAGAUGAAUAUGUAAUCAAAACAUGAAUUUUAUAUUAUGUCUAUUAUAUUCAGUUCUAAAACUUAAUACAUGAAUCAAUGUGAACGAGAAAUAUGCAAAGCUUCAAAUAAAUCAGCAAACUGUGGAUCUUCCUCUUCGGUAUUAACAUGUCUCAGAUAGCGAUGAAUCAAUGUAGAUACACGAGCCCAAUCAGGAUCAAAUGGUCCGGCGUCAUAUACAGGAACUGGUACCUCUCUUGGAUCGUCAUGAUGGGGAGGGACCAACCGUGGAUGUGAAACACAAUAAUACCACUCCAAAUAACCAUCUUCUACAUCAGAUGGAGUGGUGGCCAGGGUAGAUGGACCAAUCACAGCGAUAACACUCUGAUGGUAACUAAUCCAAUCAACAUCAAUAUCUGUCGCCAUCAUACAAUCAAGAGGUGGGGAUGGAACAUACUGCCUGUACCCGAACUGACGUAAACAUCUGUCAGGCAAGUAUGGAACAACUGUUUCACCCCACUUCAAACAGCCCUUGUAGAGACAUAUCUCAUCAAACAGACGCCAUGCUAUAUGAUCCUCAAAUGGACGCCAUAUGACGUCGCCAGGUGUCAGCUCGUCCAAAAUAGGUCGUAAAUCAUCAACCUUUAAGACUCCUUGCAUAUAUGACCAUCUCAUCGCUCGGGGAAGACCACAAUUAUCCGUUGGUUUCCAAUUCUCCUCUCUUUUUCCAACAGUUGAAAAGUAUUCGUGAAUCCAGCACUGUUACAAAAUACAAACAUAAUAAAUAAAAUAAAUUAAGUUAACAUAUUUUAUAAAAUGAAUCCAACACUUAAUAAACAAAAUUAAAUUAUAUACUUGUAGGAGAAAACAUAUUUUAUAAAAUGAAUCCAACACUUAAUAAACAAAAUUAAAUUAUAUACUUGUAGGAGAGUAGGAUAUCCACCGAGCUGUUUGCAACUGUACAUGGACGCAUCUCCAAGAUAUCUGUAUAGGAUAACUAGUGCAGCUGCUCCCCAACUAUAUCCUGAACAUCUGUCUAAGUCCGUAAACAGGAGGAGGUAUCGUGCCUCUACAAGUGUAAAGGUCUUACCGACAAAAAUGGUGGAACCCACCAACAUCAACAGAUAUGCUCUGGUCGCAUAUGCCCAGCUGGAAGCAGCUCUAUGCUAUACGAAUAAAUCGUAUAACCACUCCAACUUGUAAUACGAACCCCUGCAGCUACGAACAUGUGACUGUGCCUCACCCUGUGACACUCCUAAGUAGUCAACAGCAAGUUCAACAGCUACCUCUUCCGUGACAUCCUGAGGACUCCAGAAGAUACCCCUGAUGGGCAAGUGAAGUCGACAUGAGACAUCAUCCAAAGUAGUGCUCAUUUCACCGAACGACAUGUGAAAUGAAGAUGUCUCUAGAUGCCAUCUUUCCACAAAUGCAGAGACAAGAUUUGUGUCUAUCUUGUUCAAACUGGUUCUCUGAAGUGAAGAUAAACCAGAUCUAGAUACCCAACUUUCCAUCUGUGGUGGAAGAGCCAAUGGAACCCUAGAUGUCACCUUCAGUCUAUGUCCAACAACCUUUAACUCUUUCUUUGGACCUCUUUCCUAAAAACAAUUAAAACACAUAUUAGAAAACACAAUAUAAAAUAUUCAACUAUUAUUCAUUUUCAAAUAUAUCCCGUUUAUUUCACCAAACCAUAAAUGUCAAGCAACAUGAUGUUCGUACUUCACCAAAAGAGACGUAUCGUACGGCCCUCCUGAAUAUCCAGCCGGCUCAGCUGCAGAUGAAGAUGCGCCCCGGCCUAAAGUGCGGUCUGGAAUCCUACCAUAUGCACCUCGUCUUCAAACCACUAAAAAAAAUUAUAAAAAAAUUAUUAAAAAUUAUCAAAAAAUAAAUAAAAAAAUACGCACCAGAACACUUCAAAGAAGAGUUCUGGUGUGGAAAAUUAAAAGGCUGACUACCGGAACACUUUUUAAAAGAGUUCCGGUUUAGUUCAUCCAAACCGGAAGUCUUUCAGAAAGAGUUCCGGUAUACAACCAACCAAACCGGAAGACUUUCUAAAAGUCUUCCGGUUCAAUGCCCCCAAAAGGUAACAAACCGGAAGACUUUAAACAUGUGUUCUGGUAUACACUAUGUGAACCGGAAGACUUACUCUGAGUGUUCCGGUUUACAAUGCAAAAAAAUAAAAAAAUUUAUCUUCCAGAAGUCUUCAGACGAAAAUGGUAAAAAAAUUGAUUUCUGAAGAAUAUACCCUAUUUAUAUGAGGGUAUUUUGAUAAAAAAAUUAUAUAUAGAAGUGUGGGUACAAUUAUAGGAUUACGGGGUAAAGUUUUCCAAUAAGAUAGGGAAUAAAUGCCCACAACUCUCGUAUUCGUAACCAAGGUAUAACGAUACCAUUGAGAAAGCAAAGAAAAAACACAAGUUUCAUCAUUGGUCAAAUAAAGUUAAUCGGUAAAAAGAAAAGAAAUACAAAAAAAUAAAGAAUUAAGCUAAUACCUACCUCAUUGUCAAGAUUAAAGAUGGAAAUGGAAGAGUUGGUGGGUUGUAUUCCAUGGAUUCCAACUUUUAAUCUUAACCCUUUUCUGGCAAACUAGAUGCAAGAAUAGGAGAACCAACAGCUAACAUUGCUCUUAUAAUUUAAAGUCAAUUAAUUUAUAACAAGUUCAAGCAAUCAACAAUUUUUAAUGGAAUCUCUCAAAAUUCAUCCCAACACAUAUUGGCAGGCAUAUGCAAUUGAUAAACUCUUAAUUUCUUUCCUCCCAAUAGGAAGAAUCAAGAUGGACUGGAUAAAGGUCUACAGCUGAGGAAGAUGCAGCAGUCCAUGGCCCAUCGCUUAAUAAACUCUGACUCUGUGUUUGUGUUUCUGACUUACUACUUAUCUUAUUUUCUUCAAUCUGAUAGUAAUACUUCCUCAUUACUUCAAACUUCUUUUCAUCUAUUACUUCACUUGAAUCUGCAACGAAUUCUGGAACCGCGCUCCUACCUUUGAGCAUACUUACCACCGAUGACAUGGACGGCCUAAGGUUUGAAGUCACAUUCGUGCAUAGGAGAGCCACAUUGAUCGCCACCAUAGCUUCUUUUUUGUUCAAAUCUGAUCCUAAUCUUCUAUCAACUAGCUCCAUUAAGUCACCCUUCUCUUUCAUCAAAUGUGCCU